rnacentral:lncRNA from 1 species
CACCGGAUAUCAUCAACAAUGAAAUAAAAAGAGGUGAAAGAGUAGAAUUAGACCUCAUUUGAAGCUUUAUUUUUUUUACAAUUAAAUAGAGGAGCUUCGCGGAUUAGGAACCUCGAGCUGGCCCAACCUCAAAUAUCAAUCUCCAACUCGGUAUCAGAAGUCAAAACCCGAAUAGAUUUGAAAAAGAAAUUUCAAAGCCAAACUAAGACUGAAUUUACGAAAGACCAAGCAAUCCGUACUCGUUAUCAUGAACUCUCACAGAAAUUGACUUUAAUGUUGUCGGACUCUACCCAACAAGGCCGAUCUCAGCUAAUUUUGAUGGCUGGUUUGGAUUUUGAUGAUGCAAAUAACGGGUUUCGAGUCGGUGAUGCUGAAUCAGAUGCGUAGCACAUGUUCCAGUAAGAUAGCUGCCAAAUAAAUUUGACACUAACUAGAUCUUCGCCCAUCCUUUUCUCUCUCUCUCUUCACUAGUCUCUCUCUUUGUUAUUCUCUCUAUAUGUCUCGCUCAAUCUCAUGAUACUCUCUCUGCUCAACCUCUCAUCUACUUUCACUCAAUUUUAUCCUAUUUUUUAUUCUCCAAUCCGAUGUGUGAGUGAGUGUAUUGGUUUAUUUCUGGGCGUGAGGUUGCUAUGGAGGUACGCUGGUGAGGGUAUUGAUGGUGAGGCAGCCUUUCCCUUUUCUUUUGUGAAGAUGAUAGAGUUUCUAUGUAAGGUCGUGGGAGUGUAGGAGUGUAAUUGUUGUUGGAAUCCUUCCCUGUGGGCCCAUUUGUGAAAUGAUUGUGUUUGAUAUAUUAUUGUUGAUGUGAAUGGAAGACAAAUAUAGUGGGGUAUUAGGUGAGUUCAGAGAGUUGUUUGAUUAGGUAGGGUAGGUGGGGUAGGGGUAGGGUAGGAGGUAGGUAGGGAGAGGUAAAAAUGUGUAGAAAUUAAUAUUUGGGCGGACAAAAUUACGUGUCUACAACAUGCCCCCUUUGAAUGUAAACAUGAAAUAUUUUCAGAAAAAGAAGUAGACAACGAGACAAAAUUUUGUCCCGAUCAUUAUUCAAAAAGAAUGAAACAGAAGAAAGGAGGAAAACCAAGUCUUGACUUUGGACAUCAUACUCAUCCUUAGUUAUGAGGGAAUCAAGUCACAGGUAUCUCUAAAGGAAGGAGAAGGAUUAUACCGAGUUGGAGAGUCGAGUGAGGUCCCAUCGAGGUUCCGGUCUGCAGCUCUGUUAUUACAUCAAAAAUAAAAAUUAUGAGUUAAAACAUAAAUGAAAUUACAAAAAUCCUAUCUAUGCAACUUCUUUUGGACUCUUAUCAUGAGUUUCAUCACCCUAUUCUUCAGGCGGGCACCUGACUUGCAAUUUCUUCAACUUGUUGUUUGGCUUUCAAUUUUUUCAACUUGUUGUUUGACUUUCAAUUUUAUCACCCUAUUCUUCAGGUGGGCUCCUGAAUUUCAAUUUCCUCACCCUGUUCUUCAAGCGUGCACCUGACUUUCAAUUUUAUCACUCUAUUCUUCAGGCAGGCUCCUGAAACCAAAAUAAAAGCUAAAACAAAAAUUAUCCCAAACGAAGAUUAUGAUAAAGAAAGAUUUCAUUCAUUCAUUUUAGUUAAAAGUAAUGUCCUAUUUUCCAGGAAGGUCCUAAAAAUAAAGUAAAAUCCCAUUUUCCAAGAGGGUCCUAAACAUAAAGUAAAAUCUUAUUUUUCAGGAAGGUCCUGAACAGAAAGUAAAGUCCCAUUUUUCAGGAGGGUCCUAAAAAGAAAGUAAAUUCUCAUUUUUAUGAGGGUCCUGAAUAGAAAGUAAAGUCCCAUUUAUCAACAGGGUCCUGAACAGAAAGUAAAAUCCCAUUUUUAAGGAGGGUCCUAAACAGAAAGUAAAAUCUCAUUUUUCAGGAGGGUCCUGAACAGAAAGUAAAAUCUCAUUUUUUAGGAGGGUCCUGAACAGAAAGUAUAGUCCCAUUUUCCAGGAGGGCCCUGAGCAGAAAGUAUAUUCCCAUUUUUCAAGAUGGUCCUGAACAGAAAGUAAAAUUUGCAUUUUUCAGGAGAGUCCAGAACAGCAAGUAAAUUCUCAUUUUUCAGGAGAGUCCUGAGCAGAAAGUAAAUUCUCAUUUUUCAGGAGAGUCCUGAACAUAAAGUAAAAUCCUAUUUUUCAGGAGGGUCCUAAACAGAAAGUAAAUUCCCAUUUUCCAGGAGGGUCCUGAACAUAAAGUAAAUUCCCAUUUUCCAGGAGGGUCCUGAACAGAAAAUAAAAUUCUUAUUUUUCAGGAUGAUCCUGAAUAGAAAGUAAAAUCCCAUUUUUUAGGAGGGCCUGAGUAGAAAGUAAAAUUCUCAUUUUUUUAGGAGGGUCUUGAACAGAAAGUAAAAUUCCAUUUUUUAGGAGGGUCCAGAACGAAAUAUAAAUUAUUAUUUUCUAGGAGGAUCCUGAACAUAAAGUAAAUUCUCAUUUUCCAAAAGGGUCCUGAAUAGAAAGUAAAAUCCCAUUUUUUAGGAGGAUCCUGAGCAGAAAGUAAAAUUCUCAUUUUUUUAGGAGGGUCUUGAACAGAAAGUAAAAUUCUAUUUUUCAGGAGGGCCCAGAACGAAAUGUAUAUUCCCAUUUUCUAGGAGGAUCCUGAACAGAAAGUAAAGUCCCAUUUUUCAGGAGGGUCCUGAAGAGAAAGUGAAGUCCCAUUUUUCAGGAGGGUCCUGAACAGAAAGUAAAAUCCUAUUUUUUAGGAGGGUCCUGAACAGAAAGUAAAAUCCCAUUUUCCCGGAGCGUCCUGAACAGAAAGUAAAUUUCCAUUUUCCAGGAGGGUCCUGAACAGAAAGUAAAUUCCUAUUUUUAGGAGGGUCCUGAACAGAAAGUAAAGACCUAUUUUUUUAGGAGGGUCCUGAAUAGAAAGUAAAAUCCCAUUUUUCAGGAGGGUCGUGAACAGAAAGUAAAAUCCCUUUUUUCAGGAGGUCCUGAACAGAAAUAAAAAUCUAAUUUUUUAGGAGGGUCCUAAACAAAAAGUAAAAUCCCAUUUUCUAGGAGGGUCCUGAACACAAAGUAAAUUCCCACUUUUCAGGAGGGUCCUGAACAGAAAGUAAAAUUCUAUUUUUUAGGAGGGUCCUGAACAGAAAGUAAAAUUCCAUUUUCCAGGAAGGUCCUGAACAUAAAAUAAAUUCCCAUUUUCCAGGAGAGUCCUGAACAGAAAGUAAAAUUCUCAUUUUUUAGAAGGUAACUGAACAGAAUGUAAAGUUCCAUUUUUUAGGAGGGUCCUGAACAGAAAGUAAAAUCCCAUUUUUCAAUUGGGUCCUGAACAGAAAGCAAAAUCUUAUUUUUUCAGGAGGGUCCUAAACAGAAAGCAAAAUCCCAUUUUUCAGGAGGUUUUGAAUAGAAAGUAAAUUCCCAUUUUCCAGGAGGGUCUUGAACAGAAAGUAAAAUCCUAUUUUUCAGGAAGGUCCUGAAUAUAAAGUAAAUUUCCAUUUUCCAGGAGCGUCCUGAAUAGAAAGUUAAAUUCUAUUUUUUAGGAGGGUCUUGAACAGAAAGCAAAAUCUCAUUUUUCAGGAGGGUCUUGAACAGAAAGUAAAUUCCUAUUUUCCAAGAGGGUCCUGAACAAAAAGUAAAUUUCUUUUUUCUAGAAGCGUCAUGAACAGAAAGUAAAAUUCUAUUUUUCAAGAGGGUCCUGAACAAAAAGCAAAAUCUCAUUUUUAGGAGGGUCCUGAACAGAAAGUAAAUUCUCAUUUUUUUGGAGGGUCCUAAACAGAAAGUAAAAUUCCCAUUUUUCAGGAGUGUUCUGAGCAGAAAGAAAAGUCUCAUUUUUCAGGAGGGUUCUGAGCAGAAAGGAAUGUCUCAUUUUUUAUGAGGGUCCUGAACAAAAAUUAAAGUUUCAUUUUUCAGGAGUGUCCUGAACAGAAAGUAAAGUCCCAUUCUUCAGGAGGGUCCUGAAUAGAAAGUAAAGUCUCAUUUUUCAGGAGGGUCCUGAACAGAAUGUGAAGUCCCAUUUUUCAGGAGGGUCCUGUAUAGAAAGUAAAGUCCCAUUUUUCAGGAGGGUCUUGAACAGAAAGUAAAGUCCCAUUUUUCAAGAGGGUCCUGUACAGAAAGUAAAAUCCUAUUUUUUAGGAGGGUCUUGAACAGAAAGUAAAAUCCUAUUUUUCAGGAGGGUCCUAAACAGAAAGUAAAAUCCCAUUUUUUAGGAUGGUCCUUAAUAGAAAGUAAAUUUCCAUUUUUCAGGAGGGUCCUGAAAAUAAAGUAAAUUCCCAUUUUCCAGGAGGGUCCUGAACAGAAAGUAAAAUCCCAUUUUUAGGAGGGUCCUGAACAAAAACUAAAAUCCCAUUUUUUCCAGGAGGGUCUUGAACAUUAAAUAAAAUCUCAUUUUUCAGGAGGGUCUUGAAUAUAAAUUAAAUUUCCAUGGAUGUGCUUUUCCAAUCGUUGCUAAAUUAAGUAAAGCAAAUUUGCCCCUGUUUUAACAAAGAAAAUUUGUCAGUUAAAAACAUAGUGUUGGCUUGCAGCACUUGGUUGUCCCGACACCUGCUCUAGUGUCCAUUUCCCUCAUUUUGUUUUGGAUUGUUGGCACUUUCCCUUGCUUUGUCACGUCAUCCAAACUUAAAUUAUUAAGAGUGACCCUGAAACAAACACAGUAUUUCUACUUUGCCAUGCUUCUCAGAUAAACCCUUUGAACCUAGAUAUUUCCAUAAAUUCCUAGACUUGUCUAUUGACAAAACUUUCUGCAUGCCUUAUUUCAGCUCACAAUCAUGUCUCUUUCAUGUGUUGGCAUUUUGUCUUGCUUUGUGUAAUUGAAGAAGCUACUAGCCAGUUUUGAAAUCUUUUCUCACUUGUUUUGAUAUGGACUUGACUCAAAGAUAAGAUAAAAAUGACAAUGACUUUUAUUUGGACAAUUGACUCAAGAAAAAAAUAAAAUAAAAGUAAAGAGAAGAAAAAAAAGACAAUAAAUGUCCUUAUUUGAAAUAAAAAAAUGAAAAACUUCAUCUAAAAAUGAUAGUCAACUCUAAUGAUUAUGCCAUGCAUUUUGGAUUAAGCUCCCUGAUCUUUCCAUCCAAACUUUCUACCAAUUGUUCUUGAGUUAAUGGCCAUGAAACUGAGUUGUUUCCUUAGGUCAAUGUCAUUUAAGACCUCAUUCGGCUAGUGUCACCUUGAAGGGUUUUUGUCAACAAGCCUCUCUCAUUUUCAUUUCUCAGUUCACCAUUGUCUUAUGGCGUUUGUGAGGGUUUUUCACCAUUGAGACUCUCUUAUUUUCAUUUCUCUCAGCUCACCAUCGUCUUACGGUGCCCAUGAAGGUUUUCACUAAUAAGACUCUCUCAUUUUUUAUUUCUCUCCCGAUUCUUAUUGUUGAGGAAUAUAAGUAAUUUCCAAAAUGCGUCAUCACAUUCAUUGCAUACUUAGUCUUAACAUUCUCAAAGAUUGAUCUGAAGGUCUUUCUUUGGUUCUAACUUGGCUUUUGGAUAUAGUUAGAAAGAAAGGAUGGCAUGGGGUCCAAACGACAUUUGAAGUGGGGUAGGACUUACAACUUUUGGAAUUGACUCAAAUAAUGAGAAUUAACUCAUGCCCCAGUUUUUUUGACCGGGUGACUCUAAAUUGUUUAUUUGGUUGGACCGAGCCCUUAGUAGGGCAGCCUACAUACCUCACUCCCGAGAGAGGAGAAUCAAGUCAUGCGUAGUUCUGGCAGCUCGUUCUGUUGCUUGAUUCUGAUUUUUUCUCUCUUUUUUUUUCCUUUAUUUUCACUUUUUUGAACAUAUUUUCUUUAUUUUUUUCUCUUUUUUUGUUGAAAUUUUUCUGACUCAAUUUCUUGCUCGACACUUUUCUUUUGAGCUUUGCUGACUCUAUCUUGAUUCCAAAAGAGGUGUAUGAAAGAAGAUAAAACUAAGGCUCAGAUAGGGUAAACAAGGAUAACACAAUGUUUGGAUAACAGAAUAAAAUGCCUUCAUCAUAUCAAUCCUUGAAAAUUCCAAUACACAUCAUGCAAUAUGAAAUGAAAGAUAAAGAUCAUUUGUGACACUUUAAAAACACAAACUUUAAUUGAGCAUGUGUGCCACUUCUUUCUUCUAUAUUUGUCAAACAUAUAACUCAACCUUUGUUGUACAUCCCUCACAUUGAAUGACUCAUGCUAUUAUGGAAUUGAUUUUUUUUCCUGUUCCUCUUGAUAUAAGAUUAUGCAGCCAUUGUUUGACCUAAUUGAGACAUGUCUUCGAUUGAUGACCAAGUUAUUCUUGUGACUCUCAUAAUAAUCGUCUUAAUUUUCAAAGAAGGUUUCAACUUGUCACCAUAUGUCUCAGCACUCUACCUAUUUUCUUAGAUGCUCUCUUUUCCUAACUUUAACUCUCUGAUUCAAUGCUUUAUGAUUAAGUUAGAUUUUAGGAUCUGGUUAAAAAUUCCGUAGGCAUGUCAUAACACUAGAAUCAACGUAAAAUACAUUGUGUAAAGAAGACAAACAAACAACUUAAAAUAAGACAAAACAAACAAGGGACACCACAUAUCAUUGAAAGGAAGGAUAGAAGUGUUUAAGCAAAGACGACAGAGAAACAAAACAAGAUAGAUCCCGAACUACAACCCUGAAAUAAUUUGGAAAACAUAAAAUAAAACAAAACAAACUAUAGACCUCUUCCUAGUAGGGAGAGGGGUAACUUCUCAAUUGCUCAGCCUGACAACUUAGCCACUGGUUUGCAUAUCAGUAUGACUAGAACUUCCACCAUGAUCAGACACAUUCCCUUCAAUAAAUAAGUUCUGGGUCAUCAUGUUUAACUCAUUGCUUCCCACAUAUUGUGCAGUACCAUGUGCUGGUGAAGAAUUCUGUGGGACGGUUGAGUGUCAAUGUUUUGCAGCACAAUCAAUUUUUCUUGAAUCAUCCUUUCUAUUUCUCUUUUUAAAGUACGACAAUCCUCAAUACUAUGACCCUGAACAUCAAAAUGAUAUACAUAUUGUACCUUAGGAUUAAAACUUCUUAAAUGUGGGUCAGGAGUAUACCCAAGAAGAGAAGUGAUCAUUCCUCACUGUGUCAAUCUCUAAAAUAAACUGGCAUACGACUCUUCAAUUGUUGUGAAACUAUCCCUCAAUUUUUGACUCAUUUAUUAUUUAACUUAGAUCAAACAUCGGGCGUAGAAGGUCUUUGGUAUGUUUUUGGAGUUGGAGGAUGACUUUGAGGAGUUGGUGUGCGCCAUUGUGGGUAAGGAGGGAGUUAAACAUAGGGCAGUGUGCAAUAUAGUAGAUAUGGAGGUAGGGAAACAGAGUAUAAUGGAUUUUGGGAGUGAUUAUGGAGAGCUUGGGUAUGAACUUGGGCUUGAGACUGACUGCAAUGACGAUGACUUCUUCUUAGAUGUGCCCACUUUCCUACUACAAUAGCAGUGUCAUCUUUCUCAUUCUUCUUCCCUCCAGGUUCUAUGAAUUGAUUACAAUAUUAUCCCAAAUGUUUCACGAUUCCUUAUGCCCAACUUUAUCCUUAAAUUUCGACAUCUUAAAGAUUGGAGGAAGAUUAGCACUUGAAGGCAUACCUCAGUCUUUGUAUGAAAAUAUCUUCUUUUCCAGCAGGUCCUAGAGAAUUUUUCAUAGAAUCUUCUAUACUCUUCAUUUUUCCAACCAUUUUCUCUGACUCUUCUGGCACAUGGGACUUCUGGUUAAGAAAUUUUGGUGGUCCAGUUAACUUAAAAGUAGGAUCAGGAGUAUAACGAUGAUCACUAAGAGUAUUAAAAAAGGGUCCAUUAGUAGCAUUAGAAAGCACAACUGUUGGUCGGUUGGCCAAUAUAGAAACCUCAGUAGGGUAUUGAGCAACAAGAUCACAGACGACAUAUGGUGUGGUGAAUGUAGCAGGCUUAUACUGAGGAGCUCGAGGAAAAGUGGUGGAAGUAUUGUGAUGCUUUUGGCUUGGAAUGAAUUCUGAGUCAUGUUGUGGUGCAUCAACAGCAGUAGGACACUGACUUUGUAAUUUUGGUGGAAAACUUGAGGUAGUUGUAAGAUCAAUAGUAGAAAAUAGAGAAGGAGGAAACCCACUGGCCCAAGCUCGAUGCAUUUCUGUCAUUUGUUGCCUUAGUCUCCUAAUCUCUUGCUUUAAACACUUAUUUUCAUAACUCAUUGUUUGAUCCAUGAUGCCACUCUCUAUAUCUUUGUUGGACACAACAAACCCUUUGAAUUUGGUGUGAUGUGGAGGACCAUCCAGAAUGCCACAAACCAACCACCUUAAACUGACUAAAAAAAAAAAAAAUGUGUUAGAGUUCAACACUUUUUCAAAACUCUUUUUCCUUUUUUCUUUGAAAAGAUCACUGAACCCAAGAGGGGUGCCUACGUAUCUCACUCCCGAGAGAGGAGAAUCAGGUGUGCGUAGUUCGUGAAGUCUUGCCAAAAUAGCCAAUUAACCUCUUUUUCUUCUUUUUCUUGGAACUUUAAGAAGAAAAGAAAAUAACAAAUUAUCAAAACAAUUGACAAAAAUCUUUUUUGCAUUUUUCAGGUUUAAAUCCCUACACAAAAAUGAAACUUAUAACUACCAAAGAAAAAUCUUUUUGGGUUUUCAAUUUUGAAUUUCAUAUGAAAAUGAAACUUGAAACUAUUAAAGAAGAAAAAAUCUUUUUGUCGUUUUCUUUUAGAAGAUGUAUAUGAACACCUACUCUAAAUGAAGAGUGAAGAAAAUCGUUUUGAAUUUUUCAGAUUUCUAUACAAAAUGAAACCUAUGAUUACCAAAGAAAAAUCUUUUGGGGUUUACAAUUUUCAAUUUCAUAUGAAAAUAAACUUGAAACUUUAAAGAAAAUCUUUUUCUAGUUUUCUUUUAAAGAAGUAUAUAACACCUACUCUAAUAAAGAGUGAAUAAAAUCUUUUUCGGAUUUUCAAAUAAGAUCCCGGAAUCAACAAUUGGCUGCCUACGUAUUCAGGGGUACGCAGUUCAUCCAAAUUGGACAAUUAAGGAUUUAAUAACCAACACCCUAACUUGAGAGACACGAGCACAAACAGAAGAUGCAAAACGUCAAUAAAAUCUUUUUGAGUUUUCAAUUUGACACUUCACAUAAAAAUGACACCAACAACUAUGAAAGAAAAAUCUUUUUGGUAUUUUUGUGAAAUGUACGAAACUCCUACAAAUUUUUUUUGCAUUUUUCUUUUAUAAAAACUUCUAUGAAUGAAAAAUCUUUUUGAAGUUUUCGAAUUGUGAAUACAUGCUAACGAGACAAAGGAAAAAUCUUUUUGAUGUUUUUGUUUUUGAGAAAUAAGUGCAAAAGGUAAAAAUCUUUUUGAAUUUUUGGAUUGUGAAGAACAAAAGCCAUAAAGAACUCUAAAAAUAAACCACUAAACUCUAUUUUUGACUCACUAUUUUUUUAACGCACCUUUUAACACAUACUUUCCUCGAAUCAGUCCGUCAAAUGACCACGUUACCCUCAAAGAUGCAGCAUUUAACACAUAGGGAUGCUUUACAGGUGAGUCUCCUACAAAGGACCAAAUGGGCCCCACUAUGACCUAAAGGCUGACCUACGCUGGGGUUUACUAACAAGGCUAUUCGGGGGUGCGUAUGGUCGAUAGUGGCUGCGAAAGCUUUCCACCCACUCCAUAACACCAACGGCUCCCCCUACUAAAAUAAGGGUGACUCAACUAGUGUUCGUGUGCACGACGUGCACUCUGGGACUUGUUGCAAAAAGAAUGACUCGGGUUUUGCACAUGAUGCCAGAUAUAAAGCGGUAACACAUAAGCUAAAAAUUGUAAACAAAGAGCACGUAGGCAUUCAACAAUGAUAAAACAAUAACACAAAACAACACAAACACAAUGUCUAUACACCUAUAGUGCCAAACUAAGCCGAUACAACUCCAAAAUAAGCUCGAAUUCUGAAAAAAUAUCCCAGCAGAGUCACCGGAGCUGUCACACCCUCUUUUUAACCCCAAAAAGAUUAGAUUUAGGUUUGAAAGGGUUUUUACUAUCAAAGUGACGAAGAAUGAAAAUUUAUUUUGAAAAAGAAUUAUUUAUAUUUUUUUAUUCAGAGUUGCCACUUGACAUAAAUCAGGUGUGCCAAGUCACCUUUGAAAAUUCUUUUCAAAAUAUUUUUGACUCUAUAACUGAUCCGCGAACAGAGAUUCUGACUAAGGAAUUCUGUUGACCAAGGGGAAGGUGUUAGGCACCCCUCGGUCCCGUGGUUCGACCACAGUCGCUUGGUAGAGCGUAUCGGCUAAUUUGACAUUACCAAUGUAUAAACCACACAAAACACAUAAAACAAUCAAUCGAGCACACAAAACAAAACAAAUCCAAAAUAUAGUAUUCAGUCCAAUUAUACAGACCCAAAAAAUGAAAAAUACGGAAAUGUAAACCUACUCUAUUCUUAACUAAUCCUAAACUAAUCCUAAACCAAAAUCCACCCGAUGUUUCGGGCCUUGACCGUGCGCCGUCUUUGAGUACAAGAUAUUUCGGGGCAUUCCCCGGAUAAAUCAAUACAAAUUCUUUGAGGCAUUCCCCGGAUAAAUCAAUACAAAUUCUUUGAGGCAUUCCCCGGCCAAAUGAGUACAAUUUUUAAUACGAGAAAAUCAAAGUAUUCAACCGAAUUUCAAACAUUCAACAAACUCAAAGAUUCUAAACUUUGCCUACCCAACCUACGUUUGCCUAUCAUGAUACUAUCAAGUUUGAUUAAUAUUGCAUUUCAAGUCAAACAAUAAGCCAUGAAUCAGACCAACCAAAAUUCACUUUUUAUCAACUUCUCAAUUCCUCCCCAAAUAACCAAUUUUUAUUCUAAAAUGAGAUACCAUUUCAUCACAUAAUCCAAAAUAAAUCUAUAUUCAAAGGGAUCAAGAAACAAUAAAUAACAAAAAAUAAUUCACAUCAUCACAGAUCAACCAAACCAACACAAUAUUCAAUCCAAUGCAUAGGAUAUCAUCAAUAAUGAAAUAAAAAGAGGUGAAAGAGUAGAAUUAGACCUCAUUUGAAGCUUUAUUUUUUUUUUCAAUUAAACAGAAUAGCUUCGCGGAUUAGGAACCUCGAGCUAGCCCAACCUCAAAUAUCAAUCUCCAACUCGGUAUCAGAAGUUGAAACCCGAAUAGAUUUGAAGAAGAAAUUUCAAAGCCAAACUGAGACUAAAUUUACGAAAGACCAAGCAAUUCGUACUUGCUAUCACGAACUCUCACCGAAAUUGACUUAAAUGUUGUCGAACUCUACCCAACAAGGCCGAUCUUAGAUAAUUUUGGUGGCUGGUUUGGAUUUUGACGAUGCAAAGAAUGGGUUUCGAGUCGGUGAUGUUGAAUCAGAUGCAUAGCGCGUGUUCCAGCGAGAUAGCUGCCAAAAAAAUUUGACACUAAUCGGAUCUUCGCCCAAACUUUUCUCUCUCUCUCUUCGCUAGUCUCUCUCUUUGUUAUUCUCUCUGUAUGUCUCACUCGAUCUAACGAAACUCGCUUUGCUCAACCUCUUCUCUACUUUCAGUCAAUUUUAUCCCAUUUUUUAUUCUCCAAUCCGAUGUGCGAGUGAGUGUAUUGGUUUAUUUCUGGGCGUGAGGUUGCUAUGGGGGUACGCUGGUGAGGGUAUUGAUGGUGAGGCAGCCUUUCCCUUUUCUUUUAUGAAGAUGAUGGAGUUUCUAUGUAACGUCGUGGGAGUGUAGGAGUGUAGGAGUGUAAUUGUUGUUGGAAUCCUUCUCUGUGGGCCCAUUUGUGAAAUGAUUAUGUUUGAUGUACUAUUGUUGUUAUGAAUGGAAAACAAAUAUAGUAGUGUAUUAGGUGAGUUCAGAGAGUUGUUUGAUUAGGUGGGGUAGGUGGGUAGGGGUAGGGUAGGAGGUAGGUAGGGAGAGGUAAAAAUGAGUAGAAAUUAAUAUUUGGGUGGAUAAAAUUAUGUGUCUACAUAUAUUAUAUUUAAAAUUAUGAUUUUAACUUUUAAGAUGAGAAUUUAAUAUAUAUGCUAACAAUGCGAAUAAUGUCUCACUAUUAAUGAAAUUUUAAAGGUUCUAAUAUGCAAUAUCAUUAAUGAAAAUAACCGCACAAAGCGCGGAUAGUUUCACUAGUAUAUAUAUAUAUAUAUAUAUAAAGUAGAGUUUUGGCCAAUCCUAUAUGGUAUGCCUUAGAGGCCUUCAAAACUAUUUAUCUUUUUUGUAUUUUUUUUUUGGUGAUUUUUUAUUUUUAAAAGAUUAAAAAUUCACCUUAAUAUUUAUAGACAAUAUUAAAGAUAGUCAUAUUAAAUAACUUUCAUCAUCAAUGCUAUUAAACAUUUCUCAUUUAUGUGCUAUGUAAAAAAAUGUUAUUUAUUUUUUUGGACAUUAUUUAAAUUUUCUCCUCAUUUUAAAUAUUUAUGUAAUUAAAGAAAACUAAAAAUUCAAUAUAUAUCUAUGUAUCUAUAUAUAUAGAGAUAGGUAGAUAGAUAGAUAGAUAUAGUGAUUGUGUAUAAAGAUAUAUAUGAGAAAAAUAAAAACUGAAUCAUCAAUUGUAGUCAAUCAAAGAAAACAUCCAUUUUUAAAAAAUGAUUUUUAAUAUAUUCCCUUUCUUUUCUGAUUUUUUAUCUUUUCUUUUUAAUGUUUUAUGUAUUCUCUUAUAGUAUAAUUUGUUUUUUUUAAUCCUAAUUAGAAAUUUACCAAAAUGAUAGUAUCUCCUAAUGUUUGAAUUUUUUUAUUUAAUGUAUUUAAUAAAAAAAUUAUUCAUAACUCAAACCUCUUUAAUUUAUACUCUUAAUGAUAUUCAUAACUCUCAUUUUCUAAUUUUCAUAAACCCCAAAAUUUAAUUUGUAAAUUUAUGAUGCCUUAUAAUAUUCCUUCAUUUUAUCUAUAUAAAUUCAUGUUUAUGUCAUGAAAAUUCUCAUUCAAAGCUGUUCUUUCUCCUUUAUCACUAUGGCCUCCUCUAAAUUAGCUAAAUUGUGAAAGAAAAAAUAAUUCAAAAAAACAAAAAAUUUCUUUCUCAAAAUCUUUCUUUUCAUAUUGUUUGAUCACAUUUAGUUUAUGGGGUAUUAUGAUACACCAAGUGUAAUACCCCAAUCGUUUCUUAAGCCUAAAUCUAUCUUUUGAGUGGAUAUGUAUGACUUCCAAAGUGAUUAACGUUUAAACCAUGUUGUAUUUCUCUAAUUUAUACUUUUUUAUGUAGAGCAUCGAAUAAGCUUUCCAUCUAUACCAAUUUCAUCAAAAUCCGACAUCGAACGAGGGAGUUAUGACCGUUUUACUAAACGGUAUCGGGUCGCCCAGGUCUGACGAUCGACGUGGACCGUCAGGUCCUUGGUGGACCGUCAAGUGUAUCUUCAAGCCAAGGUAGUAACCCCUCUUCCUGUUCACCGUGUGACGGCCAAGAUGGUGGACCGUCAAAAAGUUGACGGACCGUCAAGCGGUCCGUCAGGUCGAGACAGAAUAUCUCAUUUCUGGCCUUCGAGUGAUGGAAGACUUAGUGGUCCGUCAGUUUCCUAACGGACCAUCACUUCGACCAUCAUGUCGAGGAAGAACGUUCCAAUUUUGGCACUCGAGUGAUGGACAAUCUGGUGGACCAUCAGGAUACUUGAUGGACCGUCAGAUCGACUAUCACAGGCCCCAUCAGCGAGUUUCAGCUUUUCCAAAAGGGUAUUUUGGUUAUUUCUUCCCCAUAUGGUCUUAUAUAUAUAUCCUAGUAGAGAAUGUCCAUUCAUUUUUCUCCUUUCCUCUUUCAAGAAACAUCUAGAAAUUAGGGUUUCUUCCAAAACCCAAAAAUUCAAUCUUCUUCCAAGAAAUUCAAGGAUCUUUCAUGGAUUUCUCCAAGUUGUUCGAUAAUUAAGUUCCCCAAGUCAAGGGAAUCAAGAAUCUUGGUCUAAAAGUGUGAUAAAGAAGUUCCAACCAAGUUUCUAAAUCUCCAAAAUCAUAAUCCAAGGUAUGUGGGGCUUGAACAAGAACACUCUUUUCAUUCUUGUGCCUAAAGAUUUACUUUCUAUUAUUGAUUUACAUGAUUUUGCAAAUGGGUUUACACCUAAAUUUCUUUAUUAAUGAUUUAUGAGAUUUGAGUUGAAUAAGUUUGAUAUUUAUGAUUAUUUCACUAUCAUGUUUCUUAAAUUGAGAAUUUAUUCCAUGAGUUGUAUAUUGUCAGUACGUAUUGAUGAUUUCUAAGCGAUUUAAGACAAGUGUCAUGAGUUAUGCCUUUCCAUGAGAAAUUUGACUAUUGAAUAUAUAUCGAUAUUUGAGAUUGAAAGUCAAGAAUGAGUCCUAUGAUGUUUCCUUGAAGUUUUUGAUGUUUGAAAAUGAUUCGAAAAGCAAAUGUACUUGACAUUGAGAAAGAUUAUGUUGAGUUUAGUCGGGUUAGGAAUCCACAAGAUGUUUAUAAUUUACAGAUGAGAUAUAUAUUUAUGUUUUAGUCUCUAAAAUAGACCCAUGAAAGGAUAUUAAUUAAGGUGGAUUUCCUAACACGUUCUGAGUUGAGUCUGGGAGGAGUAUUUAGCACCGAGCGGGAAAUAUGGUAUUUCCUCAAAACUAUAUGCCACCAUAGGAUUGAUGUUAAUAAUUGUGGGCCAGAGGACGAGUAUGGGAUUGUGAUAACGAGAUUGAGGUUGUACUCUCUGGCAAGAGUACAUCAACCCAGCCAAUAUGGGGUUCUCUCCUUAGGAGGAAAAAACGUGGGACUCCAUGCGGCUCACAUGGUGUAGUUAUGUCGGUUAUAAGAAACUCCUACGUCCAUAAUGAUCUAAGUAUCAUGAGUUACCGAGUCACUCUAAGUCAUGAGUUAAAGAGUUUGAGUUGAGUUAAAUGAUUUAUGAGAUUUAUGAAGCAUGUGUUAUUACUGAUGACUUUCGAAAAUGAUGUUUUAAAUAAUUCAAGCGAAGAGAGUUAUUAUUGUCAGCAUGCAUGAUUUUCUUAUACAUUUAUGAUAUUAUUUAAAAUGUUCCAUCCACCCUCACAUACUCAGUACAUUCCCAAGUACUGACUCCCAUACUCUUUUGUACUCUAUAUUUCCUCAUUAACUUUUUUAUCUUGGACAAGAAAUACCUAAAUUGCUUUAAAAAGGUUCUUAAAACAUCGAAGUCCACCAGAUGACAAUUUAUAUUUAAAAAUUUCCAAAGCUCGGUUAUCUCUCACAAUAGAUGCAACACCUGUUUGAUAAUUUACAACGGAUGUGUAAUAUGUUGCAAUAGAUGACUUAAUCUGUUUAACUAAAUUCAACAAAAAAGACAUCUGUUGUAACAGAUUGAACAUUUGUUUUUAUGCAAUUUCAAUUAAUUUUAUACAUUAGACUAAUACAUUAAUUGAUUAAUCAUAGACCAGGGGUGAGUUCUCAUUGGGUUAACUACAACUUCAAUUGAGUCUUUUGGCAAUUGUAUGAUGAGACGGUAUUGUGUUUCACCCGACCAGACUCAUCGAUCAAUAACUUUGAGCUAAAUCAAUUUUUAUUACCUCAUAUAUUCAACUAAUACCUUAACUGAUUAAUCUAGGACUAAGGGUGAGUGCUCAUAGGGUCAACUACAAUAGAUUGCAGCGCUUAUUUGAUAAUUUUCAAUAGAUGGGUAAUCUGUUGCGAUAUAUUACUUAAUCUAUUUGAUAAUUUACAAUAGAUGGGUAAUCUAUCAUAAUAGAUGACUUAAUCUUUUCGAUAAUUUACAAUAGAUGCAUAAUCUAUUGCAACAAGUAACUUAAUCUGCUUGAUAAUUUAUAACAAAUGGUCAAUCUGUUGCAACAGGUUAAACAUUUAUUUUUAUACAAUUUUAAUUGAUUUCAUUUGUUAGACUAAUACCUUAAUUGAUUAAUGGAUGACCAGAGGGUGAGUUCUUAUAGGGUCAAAUACAAUUUUAAUUGAGCCUUUUGGCAAUUGCAUGAUGAGACGGUAUUCCGUUUCUCCCGACCAAAGUCAUCAAUUGAUUACUCUGAGCUGAACCAAUUCUUAUUACCUUAUAUGUUAGACUAAUACUUUAAUUUAUUAAUCUAGGACCAGGGGAGAGUUCUCAUAGGGUCAACUAAAACUUCAAUUGAGUCUUUUGGCAAUUGCAUGAUGAGAUGGUAUUAUGUGCCUCCCGACCAGAGUCAUCGAUAGAUCACUCUUAGCUGAAUAAAUGGGUAAUUUAAAACAGAUGGGUAAUAUGUUCAGACAUAAGAUAAUCCAUUUAAUAAUUUACAAAAGAUGGGUAAUUUGUCAUAAUAGAUGACUUAAUCUAUUUGAUAAUUUACAAUAGAUGAGUAAUCUAUUGUAACAAAUGACUUAAUUUGUAUGAUAAUUUACAAGAGAUGGUUAAUCUGUUACAACAGGUUGAACAUUUAUUUUUAUGCAAUUUCAAUUGAGUUCAUAUGUUAUACUAAUACCUUAAUUGAUUAAUCUAGGACCAGGGGUGAGUUCUCCCAGGGUCAACUACAAUAAUUGAGUUUUUUGGCAAUUACAUGAUGAGAUAGUAUUGCGUUUCUCUCGACCAAAGUCGUCGAUCGAUCACUCUAUGAUGGACCGAUUCUUACUACCUCAUAUAUCCAACUAAUACAUUAAUUAAUUAAUCUAGGACCAGGGGUGAUUUCUCAUAGGGCCAACUUUAACUUCAAUUGAGUCUUUCGAAAAUUGCAUGAUGAGUUGGUAUUGCGUUUCACCCGACCAGAAUCGUCGAUCGAUCACUCUGAGCUGAACCAAUUCUUAUUACCUCAUAUGUUCAACUAAUAGCUUAAUUGAUUAAUCUAAGACUAGGGGUGAGCUCUCAUAGGGUCAACUACAACAAAUGGCAGUGCCUAUUUGAUAAUUUACAACAGAUGGAUAAUCUGUUACGAUAUAUGACUUAAUCCAUCUGAUAAUUUACAACAGAUGGGUAAUCUGUCGCAAUAGAUGACUUAAUUUUUUUGAUAUUUUAUAACAAAUGAGUAAUCUAUUGCAACAAAUGGCAUAUCUAUUUGAUAAUUUACAACAAAUAGUUAAUCUGUUACAACAGGUUGAACAUUUAUUUUUAUACAAUUUCAAUUAAUUUCAUAUAUUAGACUAAUACCUUAAUUGAUUAUUCUAGGACUAGGGGUGAGUUCUCAUAUGGUCAACAACAACUUCAAUUGAGUCUUUUGGCAAUUGAAUAAUGAGACGAUAUUGCAUUCCACCUGACCAGAGUUGUCGAUCGAUCACUCUGAGCUGAACCAAUUCUUACUACCUCAUAUGUUCAACUAAUACCUUAAUUGAUUAAUCUAGGACAAGGGGUGAGUUCUCGUAGGGUAAACUAUAACAGAUGGCAGUGCCUAUUUGAUAAUUUAUAAUAGAUGGGUAAUUUGUUGCGACAUAUGACAAUCCAUUUGAUAAUUUACAAUAGAUGAGUAAUUUGCCGUAACACAUAACUUAAUCUGUUUGAUUAUUUAUAACAGAUUCAUAAUCUGUUGCAAUAAAUGACUUAAUUUGAUUGUUAAUGUACAACAGAUGCAUAAUCUAAUCUAACAGGUUGAACAUUUGUUUUUAUACAAUUUCAAUUGAGUUCAUAUGUUAGAGUCUAAUACCUAAAUUGAUUAAUCUAGGACCAGGGGUGAGUUCAUAGGGUCAACUAUACCUUCAAUUGAGUAUUUUGGCAAUUGCAUGAUGAGAGGGUUAAAAAUUACGCAUAUCUUUUAUAAUUUUAAAAGUAAUUCAGAUCAAUUCGGACCAAAUUAACAUUUUCAAAACUUUUUAUUCUUUUCUAAAAUACAAAUCAACCCUUACAAAUCAUCCAUUUGCACGAAAAUGUUUCAUCAUUUCAAAUCUUGAGUUCUCGCUUUUUUCUCUUUCUUACUCAAUUAUACAGUACAGACAACAACUAUUCAACAAAUUGCUCUACCCUUCACAAUUGAUUGAUUUUCUCCUCAUUUACAACAACAUAGGUGUUAUUUUUUACUUCAUUCUUACUUGUAUCAAUCGUUUUCUCUAUCUUUGUAGGUAACAGAGUUCAAGAAGAUUUCUAUAUUUAUUAUUUUUUUCUCAAAAAUAAGGGCUUUUAAGUUAAUGAUAAAAAAUAAAACUUUUAGUUAUAUAUCUUUGAGAAUGGGUUUACAAUUUUGAGUUUUUAUGGUAAAAUUGUAGAAAGAACUCGAGAAAACUCUAGUUUUUAUUACAGUGUUCCGUUAAUUAUCGUGGUAUUGUUGGAUGCUGUUUGUGGUGUUGGUGGCUAUGGUGGUGGUGGUCAUCGUGGUGGCACUGGUGGUGGCUAUUAGUGCCAUUAGUUGGUGGUGCUGUGGUGGCAAUGAUUGGUAGUGUUUGUGGUGGUUGUCGAUGGUGUCGGUAUUCAUGGUGUUUGUGAUAUUGGUUGGUGGUGUUUGUGAUGGUGUUGGCUAUUGGUGUGUAGGUAUUGGUGGUGUUUGUAAUGUAUUUUUUAAAAUUUAUGCAUACAUCAAUUGUACUGUAAUUUUUGUUUUUUGUUGCUUGUAGGUAAAACAUGUCUCCCAAAAGAAAUGAAAGUGAAAGUGGAUCAACAUCUCACCACAAAAAAAGAGGCUAUAGUACAGAGGGAUUUAAAGGAGCUUCCUGAACAAUCUCAGUCAGGAAAAAGUGAAUCUAAGGAGAGAUAUGAAAACAACGUUAAGGGAGACUAACAAGGGUCUAUAAAUGGAGAUGAAAAAAUGAAAGUGAGAAAGAGGAGGAAUUAGAGAGUGAGAAAGAAAAAAAGGAUAAUCAUCAACAUGAUGAUAAUGGAUCACCAAUAAGGCAUGAAUUAAUAUCGACAUCCCAGCAUGAUCCUAUCAAAAGUUUUAGUAUUGACAAGUUUCAAGUUACGGUGCCAAUAAAUAACCCAAAAGCAGAAGAAGAACUAACUGGUGAACUUGUACUUAAAUGUCAGAUCAGGAGAAAUUUUAUUUAUUUUAGAAAAAUUAUAAAGAACGAAAACAUAGAUGGACUUUUUAAGAAGAUCUACUUUGGAUGCUUUCUUGAGCUGGCUGAGGACAUCUCUACCCGUUUCUAUAUGAGGAUAGUAUACGGUCUUCUCAAGUGCAGGAUUAUGUACGUAGGGGAUGAUAAAGAUUCGAAGGAGAGGGCAAAAAGAUGGAUGAAAUCUGGAUCAACGACUGUGUAAUGUCGAUUUGUUUUGGCUUGCAACAGUUUGCCAUAGUGACGGGCUUGAGAUGUCAUUAUCCAAAAGAACCACCAAUCGCCAAGGGAAUACCCUAUAAAAGAUCCAAGGCAAGAAAAUGCAAGAAAAAAUAGAUGGGUUAUUUGACAUUGCUCGACAUAGCUGCAAAACAUCAGAUUUGUUGACAGAUAUCAUGGAUAAAACCAUACCAAAGAAGUAAAGGGAGAAAUUGUGCUUAGUUUGGUUUGUCCAAUCGGUUAUAUUGUCAAGAGACGUCAACAAGGUCAUAGAAGAUGAUUUAUUGGCGCGUACUGGGGAUUUUGAUAAAUGCAACAAUUAUCCUGGGAGAUAUGAUAGCUUUUACUUGAUUAUCCAGUAUUUACUAAAAAACCUAUCCUCAAGGACGACCAUAUUAUAUAACUUUCCUUGGGCUUUCAUGGUAAAAUUAAUCACUAUGUUCACUCAUCCAUUAAUUAAUAAAGAAUAUAGUUAUUAUGACUUUUUUUCUUACUUUCUGUUUACAUUUUCUAGACUUGGGCAUUUGAAGCCAUUCCUCCCCUUCGUAAGAAGGUAAUGGAUUACCCGAAUGAGGUUUCUCAUCCAAGGAUGUUUAGGUAGUUGGCUACAAAGAAUAACACAAAAAUAAAGGAGGUUGAUCUUUUUAACCCUCCGGAUGAUGCAAUACAUCUUCUUCAAGUAAAAUAAUUUUACUGAAUGAAUGAUAUUGAAUAGAUGUAAUAUCUGGUGCAACUAAUGUUAUAUUUGAUGCACCAGAUGGGAUAUUUAUUACCGCAGACUACCCAUCCUGUGCUAACCGGUGCAACAGAUGGAUAAUCUGUUGUAACAGAUGAUUGAUAUCUUACAUUAGAUUAACUAUCUGUUGUUUUGGUUCUUUGAACCCGACACCUAACAGAUUAACCAUCUACUGCAAAAUAUGCAAUAGAUAUGUAAUCUGAUAUAACACAUUGUUAAUCAAUUGCAACAUACAGAUCAUCUGUUGCAUAACAUAUAACCUAACAGAUUACCCAUCUUGUGCAACUGGUGCAACAGAUUGGUAAUCUAUUACGACAUAUGAUUGAUAUUUUGUAUCAAAUUAUCCAGGUGUUGCUCUGGUUCUCUGAACCUGACUCAAAUAGUUUUUAACCAUCUAUUACAAAAUAUGUAGUAAUGGGUAAUUUGAUACAACAUAUUGUUAAUCUGUUGCAGAAGUUGAUUAUGUUAAAAUGUAACCCAACUGUGAAAAUUAUUAUAUUAUAUGAUUUAAAUGUAUUUUUUAUAGGUUGUGCAUCCAUGGAUCGUGCCUACUGAGAAGGAGUUGGUGAUGACUUUUUAUAUUACUCUAUGUCAUGUUGAUACUAUAUUAGACCCAAUGGUGGAGUUAAUAAAGAAGAAAUUAGCUAGAACAACAGCCAUAAGAAGGGCAGUUAGGAAAGGUCAUCCUAAUGUGGAGGCUCUUCAUGACCAACCUACUAAGGCAGAUCCGGGUGCUUCUUCUAGUGGAGUUGUUGGUAUUGGUGGAAGGCAUGCUGCUGCUUCUACCACUCGUUAUAAUGAGAAUUUUGAUGGUCAAGAAAAAAAUAUAUUUGAAAACACCCCUUUUCACCCUUACACAGGUCCCUCUCACCCUUCUUCUCCCUCAUGUUCUCGUUGCAAACGUGAAGAGUGCAAGGACAACCAGGAUAAACUCUUUGAAAAAGUAGAGGCUAUAUAUAAAGCUGUCGAUAAAUUCAAAUCCAAGAGGGGUGUCAUACCAUCUAAGAAGGUGAGAGUGUCAUACACUCCUACAGUGUUGGUUAGGAGGAAGAAAAGAGUAAUUAGCAACGUACUCUACGAUCGAAAAUAAAAAAAUUGUAACUCCUCCCUCUCCAAAAGUUGUUGAAUUUUAGAGGCCAUUCAAGAAGGUGGACAUAUAUGUGGAACUUGGCUCCAAAGAGAAAAAGGAUCUGCAACAGGCUAAGAAUGCCAAGCCAGGCGCACCAGAUUACCCCAGCCUCUCUUUUUCCCCAAAAAUUAUAGAUUAUGAAAGAUAUGUGUAUGUGGUACAAGGAAAAGGCAAGUUUACUUUUCCUAAUCUAGCCUUCUAAUCUACCCAAUGAAGAAAAAGCUACACAAUAGAUAUGAAAUUUGUUGCAACAACUGGGUAUUCUGGUGUAACUGGUAGUGGUUCUGUUUCAACUUAUUAUCUAGCUGUUGCAUAAGUUGCAUUGGAUUAUUGAUUCAAAAAAUCCUAUGCAAUAGAUGGACCAUCUGUUGCAUCUUUACAAUUACUAACCUAUUUAAAAAUUGACUUCUUAUAUCACAGCAUGUUGACAAAAUUCUCAGCCUCAUGAGAAAAAGGCAAUUAACGUACCUGAAAGCUUAUGAUGAUGCCGAUAGGAUAAUGGACCUCAACUUCUGCAAGAAGCUUAAGGAUAAGUACGAUCAACUCAAUAAUGUUGCAUUAUACUAUGGCGAGGGAUUUGAUUUCUUAGUUUCUAUGUUGGAUUGGGAUGAAGAAGAAAUGAUAAAAUAUGUUAGAGGAGAAAGGCCAAAUUCACACAACAAGAGCUGGACCGAGGCAAAGAGGAUUCUUGUAGUUAUUAGCAUGAAUGACAUAGAUUAUUGGGUUGUUGAUAUACUACUCGAGGAGGGAAAGAUCAAAGUUUAUGACUGCAACCAACCUGUCGUCGAAGAGGUCGAUCUUUUUUCCACGUGCAACCAUUGAUGGAGUUGUUCCCCAUCUUGUUAAGGUAGAGUAAACUGAUGAAUCAUUUUUUAAAAAAAGUAUUUAUGAAGAAGUCAUGAUAUUUUGAAGGUCGAUACAAGGGCAUGAAUCUUCCAAAAAAUGAUACCGAUUAUGCGUGUAGCUUGCACGCUCUUGCCACAUCUAAUAUUUACCGACCGACACAGAAAUGCCUGAGCCAAUGAACUUUCUAUGCGAAAAUGUUGUGCAAACCUGCAAAAGGUCUGGGCUUGUAGGGUACUAACUGGAAGCUUGGAGCCUGUGUGUAUAGAAGAGUCUGUGAAAUAACAAUUUCUUAUUUCAAGUCACACUUCACUUUACUUUAAAUUACAUACAUGUACAUGUAGUGGUAAUAAUUUUUUUCUGAUUAAAGUUGAGUUUUUUUAUAAUGCAAUAGAUUGUUAAUCUAUUAUAAAAUAUAUUCUAUAUGUUCUGGCAUAUAGUUUAUCUGUUGUAAUAGGUUGGUUAUUUGUUGCAUUAUGACGAUGUUAUUUCUAUCUUAUCUGCUGCAACAGUGGGAAGACCUAUUUGAUAAUUUUCAACAGAUGACCUAAAUUUUACAACAUAUGCCUAAAUCUAUUUGAUAUUUUCCAACAAUCAUGCUUGAAUAUCCAUGUGCUCGACAACACCAAACCAAUAGCAAAUACACCACCAUGAAAAUUUCAGCAAUUAGGCUUGUAUAUCCAUAUGCCUAACAACACCAAACCAGUAGCAAUAACGACAACAAUGUAGCAUCUUUUUGCUCAAUUUUGUUUCUCUUCAGAAGCCUUGACUUUGUUCAACAAACCCCAGAUUACACGAUUUUGCUUAUGAAGGGUUUUGUUCUUCAUACCAAUCAAAGUAAUUGCAUCCAUCCAAUUUCAAUAAAAAUAAGAACACAAUUACAAAAUAAUUACAAGUCAAUAAUUGUCAACUAAUUAAAUAAAAAAAUAUAUCUUUGAAAUCUUAAAGGUAAAAAACCUACGAUCUGGAUUUUGUUUAGUCCAAGAAGUCUUCAAUAGAGCUUCAUGACUGCACUUACAAUAGCAAAAAUCUUUAUCACAAAAAACAGUAGAAGAUGUGCUCGACAUUUUCAAGCUCGGUUGGAAAAAAUAAAAAAAAAGAUAAGGAAAAAAAAGACCAAAUACAAAUAAUUUGAAGAAUUUGGAUAGAUAAAAAUGAUAAUGAUAAAAAAGAUUUGGAAAUUUAGAGUUAAAUUUCAGGAAGAAGAUAAAUAUAUAAGACAAUGGGGAAAAAUAACCGUUGGGGGCCAAAUCAGAUGCCAAGUUAGCAAAAAUGGGGGUUCAACGAGCCUUGGCUCCAUGAAUUACACGCAAGCAGCCAACAGGGCAAAAAGUGUCAAACUGACACAUUUGAUGCCUAUUUUAUUUUACGUAUUUAAAAUGAACAAUGUCUACUUGAUGCCUAUUUUAUUUUAUUUUAAGUGUUUUGAACUGAACACUGUCGAUGAGUUUUGCCUUUUUUAUUUCAAUUCACUUUCACUUUUUUACAUGUAGUGGCAAUUAUUUAUGUUCAAUGAAAGUUGAAUUUUUAUAAUGAAACAGAUUCUCCAUCCGUUGUAACAGAUACUCUAACUGUUCUGACAUAUAGUUUAUCUAUUGCAUUAGGUUGGUCAUCUGUUCUAAGUCUAUCUGUUGUAAUAAUGGAAAGACCUAUUUGAUAAAUUCCAACAGAUUAACUACCUGUUGUAACAUAUGUCUAAAUCUGUUUGAUAUUUUUCAACAGAUUUAUCAUUUGUUGCAACAGAUACAUUAUCUGUUGCAAUAUUUGAAUCUAGUAUUCCAUUUCAAUUAAUAAGUUCAAAUCUAAGAAAAAAGUAAAAUUCAUAGAGAAAAUAAAAUAAAUCGAAGCCUUCAGAAAUUAGCUGAAAUAAAUCAAAGAAUAAAUAACAUGUAAAUAAAUUGUUAUGGGUACAGAUCUCAACAAAUACAUCAAUAAUUUAAGUAUUGAUGCCAAGGAUUCCUAAUGAGGGGUCAGGUUAUUAAUUUUACAGACUCAAGAUUUAAAGAUCUAGUCAACAUGGACAAGUUGUUCUUCAUCAGGUGCUAUGGAAUUCGUCUUUGGUCGUCAUGGAUCUUUAUUUUCUCUUACAUAUGGUUUCUACAAUUUUUAUUCUCCAUAUUUUCAUAAAAGAGUAGAAUAUUGUCAAUGCUAUACAUCAGUAGCUUCUACAUCCACCUAGAAAUCCAGAAUUGGUCAAGCUAAUCACGGAGAUACAAGAAAAUGGAAAAAGAUAAAUCACCUGUUUUAAAAAAUCAAAUAGGUCUUCCUCUGAUUUUAAAUUAUCCCAAACAGAUUAUAUUUCUGUUGCAACAAUAAAUCAAUUGUUACGACAAAUUUCUACAUAAGAAAGAUCUAGAUGAUAAUUUCUAACGGAUGAACCAUCUGUUGCAACAUAUGACUCAUCUAUUACAGCAGAUAGGUCAUCUAUUGGUACAAAUAAAAGAGGUGUAAAGAGCUGUUUGAUUUGCUAAAAUAGAUGAGACAUAUGUCGCAAUAGAUACUUUAUCUGGUACAAUGAGUUAGUCAACUGUUGCAACAGAUAUAUAUAUAUAUAUAUAUAUAUAUAUAUGUUUGAAAAUUUUCAGCAGAUGUAUCAUCUAUUGAAAUAGAUAUGUGUCUGUUUAUUAGUUGGAAUAGACAUAUAUAUAUUCACCUUCUUCAGCUUGUGCUGGUCUCCUUUGGACAAUGUACAUUGCUCAGUGCAACACACAGACAGAGAAGUUGCAAUUUUGCUUUUUUGGAUACUUGAUAAUGCAUUGAAAAUCACUUUUCUUCUCCUCUUAGUCUUAAUCUCUAAUGGAGUGGAUGGAUAUAAAAUCCUCUUUGAUGAAUGACACCCCUCUUAGAUGUCAAUUUUUUUACAGAAGUAGUUAAUACAUUAAUAGCAUUAAUCAUUACAUUAUGUUUAUCCCUGCAAUCUUGACAUUUGCAUGCAGAACAUUCGCUGGGAGAGGCAAAAUCUAUAUAAAUAGUAUGAUCAUACUCAUAAUGGUUUGUUUUAAAUACUGUAAGAAAAGCAUCAUUAGCACCAAUAGCUCUAUCACUACUAAGACCAUCAACAACAACAAGUCCACCCUCCAAAAUUGUUUUUCUUUUAAUGGUUGUUGCUCCAAACAAUUCCAUUUUUAUUCUGUCAAUGACCUUAGAGUCCGAUAAAGUUUUCACAAACCGUAAAGUAUAAAAAAAUGACAUCUUCAACUCUCGAUUGGUCGGAACUAGUGACGGAUGCACAAUCUAACAUAAAUCCUUACAUAUAUUAGAAUGAUGAUUAGAUCAUUCAAAAAAAUCAUUAAUUAAAAUAAAAAUUAAUUAUAAUUAUACUUACUGCAUUCUUCGGGGGGCUGAAGAGAUCAAUACAUUUUACAUUUUUAUCAAUUUUGGCCGAAAACCAUCUCAAGAUUCUUGGACAACAAACUUCUUCCUGGUAGUUCACUUGUGGUCUCAAAUAAGGAAUGACUUCAAAUUCCCAAGCCUAUAAAAUAACAAAAAUAAACCAAAACCAUUAUUGAGUAAAAAAUUAUGAAUGAUAUUAUAAUAAAAGAAAGAAACAUUUACUAUGAAAGCCCAUGAAAGCCAUAUAAGUUGACUUUCUUUGGCGCUAACAGAGUCAACAAAUAUUUGACAAUUAUUUUGAAGCUUUCAUAACCCCAAGGAUUGCUGUUAAAUGUCUCAAGAUCCUCAAAGAGCUUUAUUAAACUGACGUUUAUAUUAUUGUUAACGUCUCUCGUCCAAAAAAUAUUAUGUACAAACUAAACCAAGCACAAUGACUACUUGUGCUUCUUUGAAAGCCCAUUACCUUUCAACGCUUCUAUCAAAUUUUCAUUUUUGAAGCUUGGACCAACAAUGGACACCAGGUCAUCACGGUCACACAACUUGCCUUUGCCUUUUUUGGGUGUGCAGGGUGCUUUUUUAGGGUUAGAAUAGGUGUAACUUAAGAAAGAGGAUAACAUUUUAGUCCAGUAACUAUGGCAAACUCCUUCAAACUAAAACAAACAAGCAUGCCACAGUAAUUUGUCCACAACUCAUCCAUCUUAUCUUUUCUUUCAUACAUAAACCUACGCUUGAGAUGUUCAUAUACUAUUUCAUUUGGAAAUAAGCAUUGUUAUCCUCUGGCAAAUCAAGAUAUUUUCCAAAGCAGCUGUCCCUGAAAUAAGCAUCUAAUUUUUGUUCUCGAAGUAUUUUUUUUGAAGGCGUCAAAAGAUUUGCCCAUGACUGACUUAACCACGAAAUCACUCAUUAAAUUUAUAGCACCAUUGCACUGUAUUCUCACAUGAUAACUAUCAAUGCUGACUAUUUUGACCAAUUCUUUGGUGGAAGGGCUAUUAGCAGUUAGAUCAUUUCUUUGGAAACAUUCCUCCUCCUCGUGUUCAUCAUAUUCUACUCCUGAUUGAGAUAACUCUUGUAAAGCAAGCUCAUAGAGUGGUGGAUGUAGCCUAGCUGCUUCACUUGUUUUUUUUUACUUAGACUUGAUUCGGUUUUUGUUCUUUUAGGAGCCAUAUUAUCUAAAAUUAAUAGGAACAUAAAAAAAAUAUUAUAGUUCAUUAAUGCAUAGUUAAAAAGUAUAACUGUAAAUCUAACAAACAAAAUAGUAAAAUAAUAGUUCCAAUAGAUCACUGAUUUGUUGCACCAGGUAGUAUAUCUAUUGCAGUAUAUAACCAACCUGUUGCAGCAGAUGAGUAAUCUGAUGCAACAAUACAAAAUGUAUUACUCAUUUUUUAAGACAGAUGAAUGAUCUGUGCAAUACAUCACACAUUGUUGCAACAUAUGAGUGAUCUGUUGGAAUAAUUAAAUAACCUAUUACAAUGGAUGAGUAAUCUAUUGCAAUAAUACAAAAUAUAUUACUCAUCUUUUGAGAAAAAUGAAUGGUCUGUACAACAGUUCACACAUCUAUUGUGACAUCAUCUGUUGUAACAUAUGAGUGAUCUGUUGAAAUAGUUAAAUAACCUGUAACAAUAGUUGAGUAAUCUGUUGCAACAAUACAAAUAUAUCACUCAUCUAUUUAGGAGGAUGAAUAAUCUGUGAAAUAAAUCACACAUUUGUUGCAACAUAUGAGUAAUCUGUUGGAAUAUUUAACUAACCUACAAUAAUGACUGAGUAAUCAGUUAUGACUAUACAAAACAUAUCACUUAUCUGUUGAGAAAGAUGAAUAGUCUAUGCAACAGGUUGCACAUCUGUUACAACAUAUAAGUGAUUUGUUAGAACAGUUAUCAACGAUCAAUAUUGUCUAGAUUUCUUCCAAUAGAAGGGUUAUCGCAGAUGAAUGAUCAGUUGGAAAAAUCAAGUAUUGGACAUAUCCUGUUGGAAGAGUUGAUAGGAUUUUAUCCAACAUGUGGUUCAUCUGUUGCAUCUGAUCUUUAAUUCGAUGGUUUCUCCAUUUCAUUAGAUGGUUAAUCUAUUGCAUCAGAUUUUUUAUUCAAUGGUUCCUCUGUUGUAUUCGAUCGUAAAUUUAUUACAUCAGAUGGUUAAUCUGUUGCAACGCAUGAUUAAUUUAUUGCAACAGAUAGUUAACUGUUGCGUCAUAUGAUAAAUCUGUUGUAUCAAAUUUUCUAUUUGGUGGUUCCUCUAUUGCAUCAGAUGAUUAAUCUAUUGCAUCAGAAUUUUAAUCUAAUGGUUCCUCUUUUGCAUCAGAUGAUUGAGUUGUUGCAUCAUGUGAAAAAUCUAUUGCAUCAAAUGGUUAAUAUGUUGCACCAGAUGAAUAAUCUUUUGGAGAAAAAAUAGUAGCACGAUUUUGUUCAACAGAAAACAACAAUAUCACCAUUUUUACCAAGAACAAGAAUAGAAUAAAUCAACCCAAAUUGUUGUUUUGUUUGUAUAAACACAAACAACGAAAAUUAAACUUCAAAAAAAUGCAACAAAUAACAAAAAAUCACAAUUCACUUCGAAAAGAGAAGAAAAGAAAUACCAAAAAUUAGGGUUUUAUUUAGACCACAUUUUAAUUUAAAGCAACAAAUAUUGAAAUUGUUAACCAAUACUAUAAGAGAAGUUGACUCAAGUUCCUCGUUUUCUUUAAAACUAAAAUGGCCAUAAAUUUUGCCUGUGAAAGAAGAAAAAGAAUGAUGAAGAAUUCAAAGUUGUUGUGGCUGAAGAGCAAGACUGUCACGUUGAUUGAUGAUUGAAGUUGAAAAAAAAAAUUGAAGCCCAACUAUUUAUCGUCGAAGGUUGAGAGAAGUUAUCGAGAGAGAAAGGAGAGAGACUGAUUGAUUUGGAUUGAAGAGGGGUGUGGGUUGGGUUGAUUUGUAUUUUUGAAAAGAUUAGAAAAUUUUGAUAAUACUUACUAAAAGUCCACAAUUAACUUAAUCAAGUUUCCUAAUUAUAUUUGACCCUUUAAGUUGGUCAAUAUCACCAAUCCUUCAUUCAAGACUUAAAAGACACCCUUCCUUCAAUUUUCUCAUGUAAUAAAAGGAUAUUUUUUCAUAAAACAAAUUUAAUGUGGAUGUUAAUUGCUUCAGUUUAAGAAAAAGACAUAUUAGAUUAUCCUUAAACUUUGCUUUAUUUGUGUAAUAAGCUUUAAUUUUUCUUCUCAAUUUUCUAUUUAGGUAAUAAUCUUUAAACUAAAUUUAAUUGGCAAAGUUUUUUUAAAUGCAGACAUCAUAAACGUUAUUCUCAUUGUUGCAUUUUAUGUGACAUAAUUUUUUUAACGUAUUCUAACAACAAAAAUAACAACAUAUUCAAUAUAUUUUUACAUAGUGGGGUCUGGAAAAGGUAGAAUAUACACAGUCCGUACCACUAGGUAGAAAGAUUGUUUUCAAUAGACCCUCGGUUUGAGACCAAACAAUGUAGGAAAAGACAUAAUAUAAGAACAAGAAAAAAAAAUAGUAAUAAAACAACAGAUAGUAGCAGAAACAAGAUUAUCACCAAAUAAUACCACCAACAACCUACUCGAAAACACAAAAAACACCCAAAAAUUCUAUGAACAUGAUAUUACUCAUGAGACGCUACAACUACCAGCCCUCAUCCUAUUAACCUUCUACCCUAAUAUGCCUCCUUCACAUAUUCCUAUCUAGAGUCAUGUCCUUGGUAAGUUGUAACAUCUCUAUUAAUGUCUAAGCAACUCCUUCCAAUAUUUUUUCGGUCUACCUUUACCCUAUCUGAAUCUAUCCAUAAUCCAUACUGGAGCAUCCAUCACAUGCUCAAAUCAUCUCAACCUUGCUUUACCCAUCUUGUCUUCUAUCAAAAUCACUCCCACUUUGUCACGAAUAACCUCAUUUUUUAUCCUAUUAUCCUAGUAAACUCACACAUCCAUCACAACACUCUACCCUACACAACAUUGUUGGUCUAACUGUCACUCUAUAGUACUUGCCUUUAAGUUGAGAAGGAACCUUCUUAUCACACAAGAAUUUGGAUACGAGCCUCGAUUUCACCCGUCCUACACCGAUUUGCUAGGUGGCAUCCUCGUGAACCUCACCAUUUCUCAGUAUCAUAUAUAGACUCAAGAUAGUUAAAACUCUCUCUUUGGAAUGGUAUGGGUAUCAAGCUUCACUACCACACUCGUCUCAUAUGUCCCCUCACUAAACUUACGCUCCAAAUAUUUUAUCUUGAUCCUGGUCAAUUUAAAUCCUUUAGACACUAGGUUUGUUUCCAAUCUUAAUUUUAACCUAUUGUAAAAUAAAGAUUUUUAUUUAUAUAUUUAGUAGUGUAUCAUUAUUGUAUGUCACAUUUUAAUGAAAAAAUAAUCUUUAAAGUCGUUAUUGUUAGUAACUUGUUAGUUUUAAAUCAUUAUUCAGAGUUACAACUUUAUGACAUACUUAGACACCUUCCGUACAAAGGCAGAGUUUGAUAGAGUGUAGUUACUGGGAGUUACGUAUUAAGGAUAAAAUGUUACCAUUGUAACAAAAUUCUCUUUAACGUCGUUGAGCAUCAACUUUUUCCAUUUUUACUUUUUUUUAAUAAAAGUGUCACGGCCCGAGAUUAUGCCCUAGUCAUAACACAGUGCUUAGGACCACAAGUCAAAAUAGUAUAUUGACACCUUAAAUAAGAGGCAAUUAAGUUAAAACAAUGAGCUAAGACUUGCAACACCAAAUAUUUUAGCUAAAAUACUAGUAUGAAAGCUAAAAUAAGAAAUACUAAACCAAAGCAGUAUACUGAAGAAGAAAAGGACACUAAAGAAAAUCAUGGGGCAGACCCAACAAACUCUAGUUCAAAGAAAAAUAGUAAAUUCAUGUUUAACCAUUGCUAUACAUAUCACACGAUAAUGCUAUAGCCUUCAAGGAUUCUACAACAAAUAAUCUCAUCAUUACUAUGACUACGGAUGAAAAUCAUUAUUAACGCGAAGAAGAAGAACGCGAAGAAGAAGAACGCGAAGAAGAAGGCGAAGAAUUCUACAACAAAUAAUCUCAUCAUUACUAUGACUACGGAUGAAAAUCAUUAUUAACGCGAAGAAGAAGAACGCGAAGAAUAUUUUAUGGACGUGGGGUCAAAAGGGUUUUAAGUGAAAAAUUUCUAAAGUACCCAAACUUAAAGCUAAAAAUGUGUCGCCUUUGACUACAAAUCAACCAUUAACUUGUAACCACUCCUUACGACUCGUCACCACGAGUCAUAAUCAGGACAGUGACUAGGACUCCAAACACUGUUAACUUUACGAAUCAAUGUCACGACUCAUAAUGGGACCUUACAACUCGUAGGUCCCAGUCGUAAUCAACACAGAACCAACCCUAGAGUAUAAAAUGGACACCCUAUCAUUUUAGCCCAUGACUCGUAAUCAAUCCUUACGGCUCAUAGUGAGCCACUCGGACUCAGAGCAAAAUCAUGCCACAAACUUACAUGAUAUGGUUAUGACUCAUCCCUACGACUCGUUAGGACACCAUAUGACUCAUGGGUUCCAGUCAUAACCAGGGCAAUAAAUUCAACACUAUUCUCUGAACACCUUAUGGCUAGGGUCAUAUGACCUGUCAAUAUACCCUAUGACUCGUAGAAAAUUCAAGUCAGAGACCACUGUUAUAGUUUGUCAACUCACAUAUGUUACAGUGUUGUCCAAAUAAGUUGUUUUGACUGGAAAAUAAUAUGGGUCUUCAGUUGUGAAACUGAUUUAAAUAUAAUGUCAACUUGGAAUUUGCUGCAGUGCAGAUGGAUCUUGUAGCAAGUUUAUUUUCUUUCGAAAAACUCAAAUUUCAGAGUUUAUUUAAUAAAUAAUUGUCCAUGUCCGUCGUUAAAAUUUUAUAGAUAAGUGAUUUAUUUCUCUAUGUAGGUUAAACUGUAGUUUUCUUCUCAAUAUUGGAUUGUAUAAACACUAUUCAGAAAUUAAGAGAUUCUUGAUAAAUUUUGGUUCCACCUGAGCUAUUAUUUGGGGAGUACUCUUCUAGACGGCUUUUUGUUAUUGUUGUUAACAUAAACUAAGGGUACUGAAAUAGCAGAUACAAGCACAUAUAAUUUCUGAUGAGUACAUCAAGGUAAAUGAAGAGUUCUUGUAACCAGGAGACGAUUUAGGUUUCCGCUUUCAUUUGUCUACAAUGAUCAGUCUAUAACAAAUUCUAAUUGGGACUAUUUUAUUAAUGGUACUCAGCUAAAUGAAAGUUUACAAUGACAAAGUUAUUUUAAUACAACAGUUCGCCAGGCACGACCAUAGAUUGGUUCAUGGUAGUAUACAUCUUCUUUCACACACUCAGGUUGCUCAAUUACAAAAAUCAGCAAAGUCAUCGGAGUUAUUAAAAUUUUCCAGGGCCUUUUUAGAAGCAACAAGGUCAGCUAUAGUUAGUUUCUCUCUACUAAAGAAUAGGUCUUGAAGUGCGUACGGAUCCAACAUCCCAAGAGAGCUUUUGCAAAUUGUUCUGCUUCUGAUAAGAAAGAACUCUAGCUUUUCCAAAAGUAAUGUUCACUUCACUGCUGAAAUCUGCAUUCGGUUUCAGCUAUAGAGGAAUUAGUGGUAACUUUACAUAUUCAGUUGUGUCGCAAAAAUAAUACAUGACAGAAUUGAUUAAUAAUAUCUUCCCGCAAGUUUAGUGUAAACAAAUCUCAAGUCAAAAUAAGAUUGAUGUCAUGCAAUUUGGAAAUGAACACUCACUUUUUGCUUAAGCAUUAAGUAACUAAUCCUAGUACCCUAAUUUUCAAUCCCUGGAUCUCUUUUUUAAAUGUCUAUAUAUUCAGUUUGUAUUCCAAUGAUGUUUCACUUCCUCUUCAGUAGAUCCAUAUAUGAGUAUAAAUUUUUCUUCUUUAAUCAUUGAGAUCAGAUUGCCUAUGUUGGUGGAUUAAUUAAUAUUCAAAGCAGAAGCAAAAGGCUGCAGAGAAAGACAACGCAAAAAGUUGCUCUAUAUGAAACAGAAGCAUUGUUAUCACUGUCAAUAAUACACUGUACCCAACAGUCAUCCCCUAUUAUCCCCUGUACAAUAACUAUAAAUGAAGGAUCUAAGCAUGCACCCGUUCAGAUCCCUAUCAGUUCGCAUUAAAAAACCGUGCAGUAGGAAGUUAUAAAGGCUUCCUCUAAUGGCAAAAAUGAAAAGAUGAGGAAUGAAGUCUUCCCUCUUACUUGUUUUGAUAUAAUUUUUUGGAAGUCCAUAACUGGUAGAGGUCUUUUCCUCUUUUCUAGUAUACAUUAAUCUUCACAACAGUAGAGAUGUGCUGGCGAAACUAGGAAUAAUGAACAAGAAGCAAAAACUUGUCAAGCAACAAUUUCUUCUAAUCGACCUGUAAUGAUCAUGGAAUCGUCCCAAUUGGAGUAAUUAUAUCAACUUCAUAGCCUUUACCGGAUCAUUCAGUGUCAUCGUCAUCAUGCUCUCUGAAACACAAGAGAAGACUCAAGUAAUAAGCUAUUUUUCAAGAAAAUUAAACAUAAAAUAUAAUAACUAUGUUAGAUAGGAACCAUAGCUUAAAGGAAAGAAUAUAUCCAAAAAUUUUAAAACCUUUACUUAAUGAUUUAAUGGCCAAGGUAUCAACAGAAUAUAUUAGAGAAACUAUAGGAAUUCUAAAACUUGGAAUGAAGUUCGUUAUGCCACACAAGAUGUUCAGGGAGUGUAAUUACCUUGCCUCUGUCUCCAUCAUCUCCAAAAACAAUUCUACUUUGGAUUUUCUAUUGUUAAGGCCUAUCAAAUAUUGAUUUGCUUGGUCAUUGAUCAAAUCUUUCCACUUUGUAGGUAAUCCUGAAUCAAUUAGUUGUCCCACCUUUCUUCUACUCAUCUCAAUCUGCAUGACCUCAUCACCCUCAUUGCCUUGAAAUAGUGUCAUCAUAAUAUUGGAAAUUUUUGUAUCUUUCAAAACUUUCUUUCUUUUACUUGAUUGAGCAGUAGUUGAACACAUUCUGUUGACACUCCAAACCUUUUGAGAUGAACAAAAAAAACUUUUCUCAGCUGGUGUAUCUUCAAUAGUCCGUACGCGGGUUUUGCUCUUGAUUUUCUUCAAGCUUUUAAUUUUGUUCCUGACUUGAACUAUAGUUGGUUUGAAACUGAUUUUUCCCUUGAUUAUAUUGAACAAUUUAUUAUUAUUUGACUCCUUUCCAUGAAUAGCUCUGUAACUUUCAAUAGCUUCCAGCAAAGUUUUCUCGUCCUUGUCUAUCCAUACUUUUUGGAAUGAUUUGCUUUGAGUUUUGACAAGUGCAUUUACUUUUUUCCCUUCUUAAUCAUCAUUGACAUCAUCCCCAGACCUUUCUUUAAUACCAUCAUCUUUAGGCUCAGAGGCAUUAUCAUCUUCAUCAGGUGUUCCAUUGUAAAGAUACACCCAAUUAAAAGUUGGCAUGUUUUUUAUUUGAGACACCUGUUCAACUUGUCUUUCUCUCUUCCCUAUCAUGUUAUUUUAAUUCUUUACAAACCAAUGUAUUAUAUAUAAAUAACUCUUGUUAUGUGAUUGAUAAAAUUAAAAGGCUAAAGAAACUAAUAAGAAUUAAAAUUUUCAACAUUACCUUCUUCUGGACGCCCAUCCUCUGUGGUACGAGAAAGACAACGGAAGGCACAAAACACACUUCAAAUCAGUCCCCAUUCUUAAGGAUCCGAGGACCAAAUGGGGACCUCUCUCGGAUUCACCAUCUAGAACAAGAAAAAAGAGGAUACAAGGUAUUAAUACACCAAAAUAGCCAGCCAACAACAAGUUUAGUAGUACAAGAUGAAGCUCCACAAUAUUACAAUAGCAACAAGAACAAACAGGUUACAUUAACAACACUAGAAGCCGAAACUAAAACAAGAUACAAGAUUGAUAGUUAGACAAGUGUUGAUGUAGUCUUAACAACCCAAGAGCAUAUUUCACUCUUAGACCUUUAACACUUCACACAACAAACACCUAACUCUUACAAUUGACACAAGAGAGGCGUCCACCACCCAAGCACCAACGUAUCAAGCAAAAUGCAACACACAAGAGAAUCCACCUUUAUGCUAUGCCCUAGUUUCGGUUAUGGACUCUCUCUCUCGCUCUAAGAGGAGUGUUCUUUCUUCAACAUUCAUAAAAAAUACCAACUAAAACCCUACAAUGUUCAAUUUAUAUUACAUUACAAAAUAAAAUACAAAAGACUAAAAGACCCUUUAAUAAAAAGGGCUCCAAAAACAGCCCAUGGAGUGUGCUUGGGAUGGUUUUGGGCCUCCUUCACACUUAGACUUAUGCACUCCUUAGGUGGUCUUCAAAAUACUCAAAAAGUGUCUAUGAUCGUGAUCGUACUCGUAUCAUCCUUUUCAUCUUGAGAGGAAUUUGACCACAAAUUCAUGGCUUCACCUCGUGCAAUUGGCCCUCCAAAAGGAACCACCCAAAAAAGUCUGCAAAACAUCAAGAAAGUGCACAAAAUAGUCCACAAAAAAAUUAAAGGGAACCCGAGGAUACAAUGAGAACCAGUCUCAGCUAACAUCUCCAUUUUGAACCUCGGCUUCCUCUCCAUCUUGAGCCUUGUAUUCAAUCUCAUCCGAAAUAAAUCUCUUACCAUCAUACAAGCAUUGUCAUAGACCCCAUAUCCUUCAUGUUCUUUUCUACCAUUCUCCUCUAUAUGGGCAUGUUGGGUUUGGUGUAGUGGAACUUCGAUUGAGAGGCUUACUUUAGUUAAGUAGGGUUUCGAUUAUGGAUUUGGAUGGGAGGAAAUUGGCUUCCAAGUCCUCCUUGUUGGACUUGAUUAACUUACGGGGGAAGUAGUCUAUCUUGUUCUUAGUUUUGAGGGCUAUUUGGAGCUUGGAUUAUGGCAUUAUGUGGUGGUCUUGGAGGAUUGGUCAUUGAAAGUAAAGUUUCGGGAGUAAAAGCAUGAGAGUUCCUUCGACUCUCCAUUCGAUCCAACCUCUCACUCAUAGUUACCACAUACAAUUCAAUUUUUUCAAGACCCACAUUUGCCCUAGCAAGGUCUCGGGACAAAGCAUCAAGAAGGGCCAAAAUGGUUUCCAUUAUGGCCAAAAGUUACAUACAAAACAACAAAUAAGUUAGUUGUACAAGAAUGGUCCUCACACUCCCUCUCUAUUGUUUUGUAUCUUAGAUUUUUUACACUUUGAUCUCACAAGUGUCGUAACCUUGCUUGUACUCCAUGCGACAUUGAGAGGUGGACCAAUUAUUACAACUAGUCAAAAGAAUAAGACACACAAAGGAACGCAUACACGAAGAACGGUUUCAAAACUAACUUACAUUCCAGUAUUAGCUUGUAAGUUAGUAAUAGAAUCAACAAACGAAACUAAAGAAACAAUAAAAUGAAACUAAGAAAUCUAAAAUUUGAGCUUAAACAUUAUCGAUGAACAGUAAAAACAUGAUGACAUGGCAACCCUCAAUUGGUCACGGUUUUGUGAAGUUUUAUUGUCCAAGGUUCAAGUCUUGACCAAUUUUUGAUAUGGAUUGGUGGAAUUGUUUAAGGAGGGAAAGAAUAAGUCUUUGAACUCUUUUUCAACUCAAGUUUCAAGACUUGGACUUUUGUAGUAUUUUCCCUUAUAACAAGGUCCUCAAAACAUUGAAGUUGGUUGGAAAGGGUUUGUAAAGUCUUUGAGUGGUUUGAAGUGGUGAUAAAAGUCUUUGAUGACUAACAAAUACUACACCUCCUUCCUUCACCCUCUUAGAUCUAACAUCCCCUUUUUUUUCAAUAAAAUAUGAAGAUUAGUGAAGAACACCAAGAACACCAAGAACACAAACUUUUGAAUCUUGGAGUCUAAGGUUCAAGUUGGUCUCACACUUCAAUCAAAACUUUGUCAAGUUCCACCUUUCAACAACAACUUCAAUAAGAUGUUCUUAAGUCACCAAUUCACAACAAUAACACAAGGCCAAGAUCAAGAACUCAACAACAACACCACCAACCUUCAACAAUAAGGAUCAAAACAUGGCCAUUUCAAGUUUACAACAACAAUGUCAAUAAGAUCAACCUUUAGAUCUGGACACUUUUUGUAACGCUUCAAGAUCCCAUCCUGAGAUGUCACACGGUGAUUAUGGACCCGAAGGACCACAAGCUAAUCCUUUUCUGAUAUCUGUACCUGUACACUGCAUAAUAUCUGAAAUAAUUGCAGAAACUUGCCAUAAGGUUCAGCACAUCUAUACAUACUCAAAACUAAAAACUGAAUACUAAUACAUCCAUCUGAAAAGCCUCUAAACUGUCUGAACUUUGGAGUUGAUGGGACAGGUCCCCAACUAAUUCCGUCAACUGAAAAUAAACAAAGACUUAAGCAAUAAUAGUACACUAAAAUUUAUCCUCGGAGGAAGAUGACUCACUGCUACUACUGCUGACUGGGACUGAACUGCUAAGGAAAAAUUAGAUCAUGUACCUUUGAACCUAUGGUGUCAAAUAAAACACCAUAGCAUAAAUGCGUCAGUACAAAAAUGUACCGAGUAUAUAGAUGGGGUAGGCUAAUGCAAGGGUUCAUGCAUGCGCAAUAUCUAAGCUGAAUAAUCAUGAAAAUGCUGUAUGAGAACACAUACAUGAAUGCACAAAAUAUGAACACAAUUAUCACAACUUUAGAUAUUAAAACUCAGAUACCACUUUACUGCAGACUGAACUCACUAUUGACACUGAGAUACUGAAUCACUGACUUAUCUAAUACUGAUAACUAAGGAUCUAGAUGUGCUUACAUCAAUGACUGAAUUCUUAGACUUACUGCUUUCGACUAACAGGAUUAGAGAUCAACCUUUCUAACAGAUGAUUUCGAACGAUUUAUCAAUGAUAAGAAAUAUGAUUAUAUCUAAAUCUUACAACAAGAAUACUCAAUAAAAUUCUGAUACUAUGAUCAAGCCUGUCUGACGGCAUAUCUCUGAAUAUGAUAUCAAAUAACUAUAUGUGAGACCAAGUCUAUCUGAUGGAUGGUCCAUAAAUCAAUGGAACUAUCUGAGUUCCUCACAAUGAUAGAUAACUGUAUCUGACAGUCCUAAUUUCUGAAGACUGAUUCUGAAAUUGAGAUUGAAUAUGAAACUAACUUAAUCGACAUGCCCUAACCUACCACAGGUGGGGUCCAACCUAUGUCCCAGUUGGAAGGGUGCCAUUACCGCGCCACUGGUAAAGACAACUCUAUGUGACCCUCAUCUAGCAGGUCCUCAAACGAGAACGGUGGACCCCUCAUCUAGCAAGUCAAGCCACCUUAUCUACCCUCAUCUAGUAGGUAUGAUAUCUCUUAUUCUCUCUCAACUAACAGGUGUGAUGUCUCAACUUACGCUGGCUACAUAGUUCUGGAGCAGAAGGAUUACUUCUAAGAAUCACAUCCUCUACUAGUAGGUGAGUUUCCAUCCUUGAGCUCGUUCGGUGCUAGUUUCUACUCCCAAUUGAAAGACUCUGACUGAAUUCUUAACUAAUCACAACUAAACUGAAUCUGAUACUGUUCAUAUUUCUCAAAAAAUCUAACUGAGUUAUGCUGAGAUUACUUAGUUUUGUAUCUGACGGAAAAUAAAUUAAAUCAUAGUAUCUGAUUGACGAUACAGAGCUUGAAUGGAUUCCUCGAAUCACUUCUGACAUUAGGAUUGAAUCACUUGAAUACUAUUAGAACUGAGCUGAUUACAGGUUUGAGGCUAGGUUACUAGCGAUAUAGCAAUUACAGAGAUAACUGAGAUUACCGAGCUUUAUUAAGCCUCGUACUUGUCUGAGGAAAUAGAGUUCUAUAGUUUACUAAAUUCUGAGAAUCAUGGCUCGAUUGGAAUUAUCAAGAAACUGACACAGGUUCUAGACAACAGCUCUAUUUUUGGGUAUAAAUACCCCCAGGACUCGAUAACAUAAAAGUAAGACAUAAUCACUCUUCAUCAUAAAUCAUUCAUGAAUCAUCACGAUUAUCCAUUCAUCACUACCAUCAUUCAUUCAUCAUUACAAACAUUCAUUCAUCAUUACAAUCAUUCAUGUAUUAUCACAAUCGUUAAAGAAUCACUUUAAGUAGUUGGGCAUCACAACAUCCUUUCCCUCUCAAGAUUCUUAGGACAUCGCAUUACGUAUUUAGGAAAUAUAGACCUCUAUUCAUCAUUAUAUAUCAGCCUAGGGAAGACAUACUAUUAGAUUAUACCCCAUUCAACGAGAUCUUACAUCAAGUACUUCAUACAUAUAUCGGUCUUGUCAUGUAUUUGGAUAUCACUUGAUUUGGGGGAAACUUCAUACUAACACGUCACUAUUUACUUGCUAACCACUUGACAUGUAUUAAAAGUUUAGCAUAUAUCAAAGAGCACAAAAUCAGGGAAUUUACAACCAUCAUAUCUCGACUUGUUCCUUUGUUCCCUAGGGUCUUUCAACAACCACUAGACAUGACCGAUUUUACACCUACUUGGGGAUUCCAUGCUAUCUUGGCACAUUUCACUCACUAAGGCAUUUUAUCAAACACUAGUCAUGCAUGGACUAGCUCACAAUUUGGAGUUUCCUAUUCAACAUACUAUAGCGGCCCUAAUGCUUCACCUAAGCUCUUUAUCAAAUAUAUGGAGAACGUUCUUCACUUAUUCAACCAUUUCUACACCCAAAAGUCAUGAACAUAUCACAUGGAAAAACAACUUCAAGAGGAUCUAUCACAAACAUCAUAUGAAUUCCACAUACUAGGGUCAAAACUCAUAAAUUUUGUAGGCAAACAUAAAUCAAAACUCAACAACAAAUUAAAAAUCCAUUUCAACUCAUACAAAUCAUUAACAACUCAUAAACAUAAAAAUAUUUUAGUUUUAAAAAGGGUUCUUGAGCUUCUUGAAUGAAAGGGACCCAAGAAUCGACAUCUACAUACCUUAACCUUUGAAAUUGGAUGAACUUUAGUGCUUGAAACUUUAUCCACACUUGAAAUAAAUAAAUUCUUGAAGCCAACACUAUGAGGAACUUGAUUCUUGAAGAAAGCUUGAAGAUUUAUGGAUGAAUGUUUGGAGGUUCUUGAAUUGAAACCCUAGAUAUUCUCUCUUUAGAGAAUUGAAAGGGAAAUGGAGAAAUUAGGGUUUGAAUGAGAGUUCCUCAUAUUUAUAGAGGCUCAAAAAAGUGGAAAAUUACCAAAAUACCCUUGCAAAAGCUCCCUUGAAUUGCAGAAAAAAUAUACUUGACGCCAUCCGUGACAGGCCGUCAGGUUCAUGAUAGGCCGUCACGAAUGGUUAUCACAAAAGGGGUCCAAAUUCUUGAUUUUUUGACCAGGGUUGACGACAUCAUCAGAAAUAUCGUCAGAAUGUGAGGACGUCGUCAAAAAGGGCGUCAGAAACGUGAUAGUCCGUCAGAAACGUCGUCAUCGUUUUCCAGCUUGACAUGCUGGAGUAAAAUUGUCGUAACUCUUUGAUCCGAUAUCAGAUUUAGGCAAAAUUUGUAUCGUUGGAAAGCUAAUUCAAAGAUAUUUCAUUUUAUAUAUAGAAAAAUACACAAUUCUUAAUAUACAAUGAGUUAUGAUCGAUUAAAGUUCACCCAAAUUUUGACGGUCACUAAAACUUGAACGAUAGGAAAGUUUUCAACUCGUUCAAAAGUUAGGGGACCUCUAUGAUCUUAAUUCAUGAUCAAAUAGAUUCCUACACGAUUCAAAUUAUUUCAUACUUGGGAGGAUAUUUUUGAAACAUUUUAACUUGUAUUUUCGUUUUACCAAAUACGCUCUAAGACUCAGACUGGAAGAGGAUUUUACUGGGCAUUACACUUUUAGUGUUGGUGAGAAAGAACCAACAAUAGAAAGACACUAGACAAACAAAAGAACUACAAGAUCUAGUCAAGAAAAAUAAUAAAAUCUCGGCCAAGACAACAACACAACACAAUUUUUGGCUAAGAACACAAAAAUGGACAGAUUGCUAUUUUUUGUAAUUUUUCAGUUUUUGUCAACCUUUUUUUUUUUACUAAUCAAACCCAAGAUUGGCCUUGUGGGAACAAAACUAGACUUUCUUUGAUACCAAAUAAUACGAGAAAUACAACGGAAGGCACAAAACACACUCCAAAUCAGUCCCCUAUCUUAAGGAUUCGAGGACCAAAUGGGGACCUCUCUCGGAUUCACUAUCUAGAACAAGAAAGAAGAGGAUACAAGGUGUUAAUACACCAAAACAGCCAGCCAACAACAAGUUUAGCAACACAAGAUGAAGCACCACAAUAUUACAAUAGCAAUAAGAACAAACGGGUUAUAUUAACAACACAAGAAGAUAAAACUAAAACAAGAUACAAGAUAGAUAGUUAGACAAGUGUUGAUGUAGUCUUAACAGCCCAAGAGCAUAUUCCACUCUUAGACAUUUAACACGUCACACAACAAACACCUAAAUCUUACAAUUGACACAAGAAAGGCGUCCACCACCCAAGCACCAACGUAUCAAGCAAAAUGCAACACACAAGAGAAUCCACCCUUAUGUUAUACCCUAGUUUUGGUUAUGGACUCUCUCUCUCUAAGAGGAGUGUUCUUUCUUCAACAUUCAUAAAAACUACCAACUAAAUCCCUACAAUGUUCAAUUUAUAUUACAUUACAAAGUAAAAGACAAAAGACUAAAAGACCCUUUAAUGAAAAGGGCUCCAAAAACAACCCAUGGAGUGUGCUUGGGACGGUUUUGGGCCUCCUUUACACUUAGACUUGUGCACUCUUUAGGUGGUUUUCAAAAUACUCAAAAAGUGUCCAUGAUCGUGAUCGUACUCGUAUCACUCUGCAAUGCUGUCUGGAAUAGAUGUUCCAUAAAUAUGUUUUAGGUCCAUCCUCGGCUCUCUACAGUAUAUAUAUAUAUAUAUAUAUAUAUAUAUUUCUUAUAUAUGCAUAACUGCUAUUAUAAUUUCAAAAUAUAUUAGGUGCAGAACAACAUGUUAUACUGCAGUAUGUAUUUGUAUAACCAAAAUAAAUGUGGAUCAAUUUGAAAUACUUUGAGCAUUUUGUAGCUAAUAAGACUAGAGAACAAUCAAAACUAGUGUUAGUUUUCUAAAUGUCAAGAAAAAGGACCAUAAUAAUUGUUAAGUUGUACUAGAAUCAAAAUGAGGAAUUAUCUAGCCUUCACAACAUAUAGGUAUUGAUCUUAUAUGUAAGGGAUACAUGAGGAGUUAGCCAAUGGUUGGAGAAUAAUUAUAACAAAAGAUGGAUAACUGUCAAGAAGUGCAUUAAGUUUCAUUAAUCAUUCAUGACAACACAAAAAGGAGCAAAAAAGUUUCAUAAUCCGAAUACUAAUUAUCAGAGAAGUUAGAAAAAUUAGUAAGCAUUUUCACUGUAAAGGAUGUUUAACGGCUAUGUCUAUCCAUAUGAGAAUUAAUCAAAUAUAAACAAAUAAAAGAAACAUUACUAACAUUUGUAUUUCUUGCAUUCUUCUUAAUAAGAAUGAUUAAGUUUAGUUGGUUAGAUUGAGAUAUACAGAAUAAUGCAAACAAAUUAAAGAUGCUUGAAAUGAAUUAGUAAUAAGUAUAAAAUGAAAUUUGAACCUGGAUUUAUGUAUUUUUUUAGGGAUAACUAUAUAUUUUAGCAAAUAUAAGCUCCUAAUUAUCCUAUUUAGCCUAAAUUUCAAUUAAUUAUAAUUCAUAGCUCCUUUUACCUAUUAAUUAUUUCUAAUUACAAUUCAUAGUCUCUCUCAUAUAUUUUCUCUCUUUCUCUAUUUUCUAUUAUUCUCUUUUUUUUUUCCUUUUUAAAUUUUUUUCUUCAUUUUUUCUUUUCCUUUUUUGUUGUUUUCUCUUUCUUUUUUCUUUUUUCACUUUUUUUUCCUUUUCAUUUUUUCUCCUUUUUUUUUUUUUUUGUAUUUUUUCUCUAUUUCUAUUACUCUCCUUCUUUUUUUUGUAUUUUUCUCUCAUUUUUUUAUCUUUUUUUUUUCUUUUCUCUCCUUCUUUUCAUUUGUGUGAACUAGCAAACACAAAUACAAGUGCGAACAACAAAUACAAAUAUAAAUGUGAAUUAUAAUAUACAAAUACAAGUUCGAACUAUAAAAUAUAAAUACAAAUGGGAACUAUAAUAUACAAAUACAAGUGCAAACUAUCAUUUGUAUUUUUGAAUUAAUGAAAAGGAACGAUUGAUUUUCUUUCUAUGAAUACUUAUUUGUAUUUGUGAAUACGAGUUGUAUUUAUUGAUACAAAUAAAUACAAUUCAAAUUUCGAUACACAUACAAUAUAUACAAAUACAUAUUGCAUUUCUAUUUGUAAAAUUAUUUGUUUCAUUUGUUUGUAAUUGUAUUUGCAUCAAGUGAUAUUUGUUUAUUUACAAAUAUGAAUGAUAAUUUUGAUAUACAAAUACAAAACGAAACAUUUAUAUCAAAUAAUAUAUUACAUAUUUAUAUAUUUUAGAAUCAUGAAUGAUAAUUUUGAUAUACAAAUACAAAACGAAACAUUUAUAUCAAAUAAUAUAUUACAUAUUUAUAUAUUUUAGAAUCAAGAAAAUACAAUUAAUGCAUUUACUUAUUUGUAUACAAAUACAAAUGAUAAAUUAUAUAUAGUCACGGCUAAAUACAACAUAUAAUCAAUUUACAAAUACAAAUACAAAAUAAUUCUUUAAAAAUAAAUAGAUAUCGAUGAAAAUAGAAUACGAAAACUAGUAUGAUCUAAAUAACUGAGAUACUUUCUCGUUGCUGUUGAAGUUAUUGUAUGCAAUUAUUUGCACCUUAUAAUUAAUAAAAAAAAUGACUUUUCAAAAAUAUUCAAAUUUGAUGGGACGCAUUACGAACUUCACUAGCUGACUGCCCUAAAAGUCAAAAUGAACCAAAGUUUUGACCUUUUAAGCAAUGAGAUCAUAGCUGUUGUACACGUUCAAUAGGAGUUGUCCCAAAAUUAUUUUUAUUUUUCUGCUCAAGAAUAAUUUUGAUUGGUUACAUAUGAUUGAGAUCAUCAAGUUCUUGUAUAAUUGUAGUUACACAUGAUUUCGAAUCAAAUUGGCAUUAUCAUAGAUUGUUAAGACAGGAGGUAUUAAGAAUUAGUUAAUCAUAAUUUUGAAAAAACAAAUAAAAUAUUGAGGGGAGUAGGUGAAGAGGCUUAAAUGAGGGACCCAAAUUGUCCUUAUAUUAUUCGUAAAUAAUUAGGAUUUUUAAAUUAGUAAAAUUAUUGGUAUUGGUUGGAGAUUAGGGCCGGUUUUUAUUUUUUUAUCUUUAAAUAUAUCAUCAAGUUGUUUUAGAGCUUUUAAUGAACUUUUAGAGUGAUAGGUGUCCCCGUAUGUUAUUGAAGACUAAUUCAAUGUGUGACCUAAUCAAAUUUAGUUUGUUAGUAGUUUCCUAUUUUCUUGGAUUGUUAGCAGUCAUGUUGCAGUAUGUUGCUUAGAUAGUGGAUAGUUGUUAACUUAGUGACUUAGUGAUUUAGUUGUUUUGUAAGUCUCUAUAAAGGCUUGUCUUCAGUUAUUUUUAAUAUACAGAAAAGCUGAGUUUCAGCAUGUAUUGAGUCCUCUUACUUUCAGCCUUUGUUCUUUAAGUUUUUGCAGUCUAUUGUCCCAACAUCUUUGGUAUCAAGAGCCAUGGCAAGUAGCAGCAAUUCAUCAGGUGUGACACAACCACUCAAUCCUAUCUUCACAGGAGAAAGUUACAAAUUUUGGAGUAUUCGUAUGAAAACUAUACUCGAAUCCCAAAAUCUUUGGGACUUGGUAGAGCGUGGGUUUGCAGAUCCCGACGAAGGAGAUAGACUAUGAAACAACAAGCAAAAAGAUUCUAAGGCUCUGGUGUUUAUCUAGCAAGCUGUCCAUGAUUGUAUUUUUUCACGAAUUGCGGCAGCAACCACAUCAAAGCAUGCUUGGUCUAUUCUACAGAAGGAGUUUCAAGGUGAUUCAAAGGUCAUUGUAGUGAGAUUCCAAUCACUUCGGCGUGACUUUGAAACCUUGAUGAUGAAAAGUGGAGAAUCUAUUGUUGAUUUUUUGUCCAAAGUAGUGGCAAUUGUCAGCAAAAUGUGAUCCUAUGGCGAGAAAUUUACCGACCAGACCAUUAUGGAAAAGAUACUGCGAAGCUUGACUCCAAAAUUUGAUCAUGUUUGCUGCGAUAGAAGAGUCUAAGGAUCUUUCAGUAUUUUCCUUUGAUGAAUUGAUGGGAUCUCUUUAAGCUAAUGAGGCGAGACUCAAUCGAUCUACCAAAAAGAAUGAAGAGAAGGAAUUCCAUGUGAAGGAUGUAACAACUAAUUAUGGAGAAAAUAAUGGUCUAGCAAACAGAGGUCGAGGAAGAAAAGGAUUUUGUGGUGGUCGAGGUCGUGGUUAUGCAAGAGGUAAAGAAAGGAAUGAUAGGCACAAGUAGUCCAAUGAGCAAGGUAACAGGAAAAUGGCAUUCAAUGUCAUCACUGUUAGCGCUACGAGCAUAUAAAGGCUGACUGCUGGUAUAAAGACCAAAAAAUAAACUCUGCAGUAGGAUAAAAUGAGGAAGAGAAUUAUCUCUUUGCUUGCGUUGAUACAGACCAUAAGCCAAGUGAUUUAUGGUUUGUAGGUAGUAGUUGUUCAAAUCAUAUGACGGGCACCAAAUCUAUGUUCCAAGAGCUUGAUGAGAAGAAAAGGAAGAAAGUGCAACUUGGCAACACAAAAGAGAUGCAGGUUGAAGGAAAAGGCAAGGUGAUUGUCGACACUAGCCAUGACAAAGUAAAAGUGUUGGAUAUUGUUCAAUUUGUACCUGAUCUAGGAUACAAUAUGAUAAGUGUUGGACAACUGAUGACUGAUGGAUAGUCUUUUUGGUUUGAUGAUGAUGCGUGUGUCAUUACAAAUAAGAAGUCAGGCAAAACGGUUUGCAUCACCAUGAUGCCAAAUAAUAUAUUUCCACUGGAUGUUUCCAAUAUGGAAAAUUUUGCCCUUUCUGCAAGUGCAAAGGAUGACUCAAAGUUGUGACAUCUGAGGUACGGUUACUAAACAUAAAAGGCUUAAAAUUGCUCAUUGACAAAGGUAUGGUUCUUGGACUACCAAAAAUUGAUUCUAUUGAAUUGUAUGGAGGAUGCAUUUAUGGAAAACAAACUAGAAAAUCUUUUCCUGUUGGAAAGGCUUGGAGGGCUUCAAAAUGUCUUGAAUUAAUACAUGCUAAUUUAUGUGGACCUAUGCAUACUACAUCUUUUGGUGGUAGUCAUUAUUUUCUACUUUUUACUGAUGAUUAUAGUCGCAUGAGUUGGGUCUAUUUUUUGGAAAGCAAAUCAGAAACAUUUCACAAAUUCAAGCAAUUCAAAGCCAUGGUUGAGAAACAAAGUGGUCUGUCCAUCAAAACCUUUCGCACUGAUAGAGGCAGCGAGUUUUUGUCCAAGGAAUUUAAUUUCUUUUGUAAAGAAAGUGGCAUCCACAGGGAGCUAACAACACCUUAUACACAGGAGAAAAAUGGUAUCGCUGAGCGGAAAAAUCGCAUUAUUGUGGAGAUGGCAAGAAGCAUGUUGCAAGCAAAGGGACUUUCGAAUCAUUUUUGGGCUGAAGCUGUGGCCACAUUAGUCCAUUUAUUGAACCUGUCUCCUACAAAGGUCGUUCUAAAUCAAACUCCAUUUGAAGCUCGGCGGGGUAGAAAACCAUCUGUAAGCUAUUUAAGAAUUUUUUGUUGUAUUGCUUAUGCUUUGAUAAAUUCUCAAUUCGAUCAAAAGUUGGAUGAGAAAUCUAAAAAAUGCAUUUUUAUUGGUUAUUGUACACAAUCCAAAGCAUAUAGAUUGUAUAACCCCCUUAGUAGAAAGAUUUUAAUCAGAAAAGAUGUAGUAUUUGAUGAAACAGCAAGAUGGAAUUGGAGUGGAAGCAAUGGUAAGAUGCAAUAAUAGAUUCCUAUUCCGACUGGAAUCACUUUUGAUAGAAUUCAAUAGCCAGAUGGUACAGCUACAGCAACGGGUUCUUCUACAACUUCCCCGAAUUCAUCUUCUUCAGCUUUACCGAGCAAAAUCUCUUCAUCUACAACUCUUAAAAGUUUCCAAAUGAGCCAAUUCCAUUAAGAAGAUCAAUAAGUCCUACAAACCCGAAUCCCAAGUAUGCUAAUAACAUGUAUACAUCUUGUCAAUUUUCUUUUGUUGUUUCAGAUCCUAUACAUUAUGGAGAAACAGCUAAAAAGGAAGAGUGGCAGAGUGCGAUAGUAGAAGAGAUAAAUUCUAUCGAAAAGAAUGACACAUGGGAGAUGGAGGAAUUACCAAAAGAUAAAAAUGCAAUCGGCUUGAAGUGGGUCUUCAAGACAAAGUUUGCAGUGGAUAGGAGCCUACAGAAGCAUAAAGCUCGUCUUGUGGCAAAAGGAUAUGUGCAACAAUAUGGAAUUGAUUUUGAAGAAACAUUUUCUCCAGUUGCUCGAUUUGAAAUUGUUAGACUUGUUCUAGUAUUGGCUGCGCAGUCACUGUGGCUAGUUUAUCAAUUUGAUGUCUAGACUGCAUUUCUCAAUGGAGACUUACAAUAAGAGGUCUAUGUAGUACAACCAGAAGGUUUCAUAAAGAAGGGCGAUGAAACAAAGGUCUACAAGCUAAAAAAGGCAUUAUAUGAUUUAAAGCAAGCCCCUCGAGUAUGGUAUAGCAAAAUUGAUGGGUAUUUUUAGGAAAAGGGAUAUAUGAAAAGUGAGAAUGAACUCACAUUGUAUAUAAAGAAGAAAGGUACUGAUUUCAUCAUUAUUUGCCUUUACGUUAAUGAUAUCAUUUAUACUAGCUCUUCUAUUUCUCUUGUGGAUGAAUUCAAGUCACAAAUGAUGAAUGAGUUUGAGAUGUAAGAUAUGGGUUUAUUACAUUACUUUCUUGGCCUUGAAGUCCAUUAAGAUGAAGAUGGAAUAUUUCUAUCACAAAGAAAAUAUGUCAGCGACCUUCUCAUUAAAUUUGGUUUGCUUAAUUGCAAGCCUGCAGCUAUACCUAUGAAUAUUGGUGAAAAGUUAUAGGUUAAUGAUGGAGCAGAGAUAUAUGAUGCUAGAAGUGUUAGAAGCCUGGUUGGAGGUUUGAUUUACCUAACCCACACUCGCCCCGAUAUUGCAUUUUCUGUUGGUGUCAUUUCCAGGUUCAUGUAAUAACCUUCAAAGGUUCAUUUUGGAGCAGCAAAAAGGGUUCUGCAUUAUAUCGCUGGAACUAUGGACUAUAGUAUUUGGUAUUCACAAAUUUCCAAUUUUAGAUUAUGUGGGUUCACUGAUAGUGACUAUGCUGGUUCGUUGGAUUAUAGACGGAGCAUUUCAGAUCAUGUUUUCACUCUAGGUUCAAGUGUAGCAACUUGGAGUUCAAAGAAGCAAGCUACAACAACGUUGUCAACCUCAGAAGCUGAGUACAUUGCAGCAACUAUAAUAGUUUGUCAAGCCAUUUGGCUUAAAAGGAUGUUAGCAGACUUCAACAUAAGCAAGAAAGUGCAACAGAGAUAUACUGUGACAACAAAGCAUCAAUCUCCAUGACAAAGAGUCCAAGUUUUCACAUCAGAACCAAGCACAUUGAUGUCCGUUUUUAUUUCAUUCGCGAUUUAGUAGCAAAAGAGCAAAUAAUAGUGAAACAUUGCAGCACUCAUAAGCAAUUAGCUAAUAUACUAACGAAGUCUUUGGCAGCAAAAAAGUUUAUUUAUUUGAGGCCUUUGCUUGGUGUCUGUAACUUUGGAUUUAGGGGGAGUAUUGAAGACUAAUUCAAUGUGUGACCUAGUCAAAUUUAGUUUGUUAGUAGUUUCUUAUUUUCUUGGACUGUUAGCAGUCAUGCUGCAGUAUGUUGCUUAGUUAGUGGAUAGUUGUUAACUUAGUGACUUAGUGGUUUAGUUGUUUUGUAAUUCUAUAAAGGCUUCUCUUCAGUUAUUUUUAAUAUACAGAAAAGCUGAGUUUCAGCAUAUAUUGAGUCCUCUUACUUUCAGCCUUUGUUCUUUAAGUUUUUGCAGUCUAUUGUCCCAACAUAUGUUGCACGUGCAAGUCAUGGAUUAACUUCAUUGAUCAUGAGAUUAAGAAAUUUUAUCAAGUGUGUUUUUUGCUAUCUUAUCUGAUUAUGUAUGAUUAAUUAAUUAAUUAACUUUCUCAAUAAAUAUCCAAAUAUAAAUUAACUUGAUUAAAGUAUGAAGUAAAGUGAAAUCUUGUUAAAUGUCUAUCUACAUUUGAUCUCUUUCUGUUUUGUUAAGUCAUAUUUAGCUUUUACUAAAUCAAAUUUGAUAAAAAUUUCUAAUACUUAUUGACGUACAUAGAGAAAAUGACAGAAAUGGUGAUAAUCCAACACAGUAGGGGCGGAGCAUAAUUUUUACUAAAUAAAAUAAAAAUUCAAAUACAUUCAAUAUAUAACUUUAUUUUUAUAUUUUAUUUCAUAUAAUUUUUCAACAAAAGAUGACAAAGUUGAGAUGAGAGGACCAAAACAAACAAGGAAACAAGGAAAAAUAGCUUAUUGAAGUGAUUGAAGUUGAAGUGAUUAAUAUAGCCAUGAUAUAUUAGUUGUUCAUGUCCUAGAAAAGGUUAUGCCUUUUAUGUGUUUGUUAAAAUGCCUAAGUGAAUAAGAAUUAUAUAUUUAUGACCCAUUUAUGUUCUAAAUAAUAAACUCAUGAUGAUAUACCCACAUGUUCAAAAUGAUUCCCAUGCUAAAGCUAUGUCUUGUAAUGAUUUGAUGGAAUGCUUAUAAGAUUUGAUUUGUGAAAUUAAGAUAUGUUAGCAUGAAUUUCUAUUCAUGUGCAACCUUAUGACUUGCAAGUGCUUGAUGAAAUGCCUCAUUGAUAGUAUUGUAAGUUGUUGACUAUUGUCACGCUUCAAGAAUUAUCAUGUCUUAUUAUUUUCAUGCUAUCGUGUCCUGGGGGUAUUUAAUACCCGAUAAUUUAGCUGAUUACCUAGAGCCAGUGUCUGUUUUCAAGAUACUCUCAGUCAAGCCAUGAUUAAUAGAACUCAGUCAGUUACAUGACUUAGGAAAACUCAGUAAAUUCAGUACCAGUUCAGUCCCACUUAGUAAUCAGUUAAGUCCUUAGUAAACUCAGUUAGUUAACAGAAUUCGGUAGCAUUCCAUCAGUCAAUGGAACUUAGUGAACUCAGUCCAGUUCAGCUCAGUAUAACCAAUUCAGUGUCUAUUCAGAUGGGAGUAGGAUUCAGCACAGAGUGAACCCAAAGAUGGAAACUCACCUGCCAGUAGAGGGUGUGAUUCUUAGAAGAAAUCCUUGCAUUCCAAAACUGGGUAGCCAGCGUAGGUUGAGACAUAUAACCUAUCAGUUGAGGGUUGAUGAUGUGGUUUAACCUGUCAGAUCAGGGUCCCACCGUUCUUGUUAGAGUACCUGCCAGUUAAGGGUCACUCACAUCUUUUCCUUACCCGUGGCACAGUAUUGACACCCUUUAAAUUGGGGUUACAGAUUGGACCCCAACUCACCUAUCUUAUUUGGAGCAUGUCGGUUAGAUGAUUACCUCUCACAGUCUCAGUCUUUAGAAUAGAACUCAGUCAGUUCUACAGAUUUCAAGACUAUCAACUACAGUCGCUUAGCUCAGUACAAAACUCAGCUAUUUCUAUUAGAAUAGACUGUCAAAAAUAGUCACUCAGUUAGCAGUAUAUCAAUUAUCAGAAAUCCAUGUUAUCAGUAAACUCAGUACUCAGUAUCACGAUAAUUUCAGUUACAGUCUAUAUAUUCAUGCAUGUAUUCGCACUCAAUCAUGUUCAUAUUACUCUGUCAGUUAUAGUUCAUGCAUAUGAACCCUUUCAUUCAGCCUUACCCCACUUUGCAUACCAGUACAUUUCCACGUAUAGACAUAUACUUUUCUCUUGCGCUAUGUUGUCUUACUUAUAGGUUUAUGACCGUAUAAAUUUUCUUUAACUAAAUUAUCUCUUGUUAUUUUUAAUUCUGAGAUUUUUUCUACGCAAGGAAUACACCCUUCUAUGUAACAAUUCUUAAAUUUUACUCAUUUUCUUUUACUUGGAUACCAAUGACACUUAAAAUAUUGAUUACUAUCAAAUCCUUUACCUUUUUAAAAUCCGUGUUCACAGUCCUAUAUAAUAUUAACUAAGUCAUGAUUGUCUAAUUCUUUUAAAUCUAAUCUUUCCACUUCAAUUUUGUUUAUUAACUCUUCUCCUUUAGAGUCUGAGGAGUCUUGUUUAAGUUCUUCAGAUGUAUCUAUACUUAUUAUGGAAUAAAUGCUUUCGUUAUCUGGCAUAUAUUCAUCUAUAUUUAUUAGAGUUUCUAGAAAAUCUUCUAUUAAUUGCGCAUUUCUUGUCCUGCUAUUAUUUCUUUUUGGACAAGUGUUUGCUUAAUGCUCUAUGCUUCAACACGUAAAACAUUUAAGUCUAUUUUUAUAAUUCCUAUUAUUAUUAUAUUUUCUCACAUGUCUUUGCUUGUUUAAGCAUGUUUUUCUUGCUGAUGAUUUUCUUAAAGGAAAAAUAUUUUAUUUCCACCUUGAACUAUACACGAAAUUGCUGACACACACCCGAACUUUAGGAGCGUCCUAUUAUCCCCUGAAUCAAUUAAAAUUAUAUUUUUGGCAACCUUAGUGCCUACAUGGCACAUUAGUCAAUCAACACACUGAAGGUCCGCGUAGGAAUGCAUAUGUACGACGUAGGCACUAAAGUUGCCAAAAAUAUAAUUUUAAUUAGUUCAGACGAUAAUAGGAUGCUCUUAAAAUUCAAAUGUGUCUCAGCAAUUUCGUGUAUAGGAAACAGUGCAUUUUCUCUUUCUUAAAUAAUAUUUUUUCUUGGGAUGAUAAUUUCUUUUGGAUUUUUUUAUAGUUUUUCCUUUGGUGAUAAUCUUGAUCAUAAUUUUGUGUAGUAUAUAUACUUUUACCAAAAUUUGUCUCAUUGUUGUUUUAAUUGUUUUGGCAUUUGUAUGUUUGUACAUUUUUCUUGCGAUAUCUCCAUUAUAUAUACUUUUACCAAAAUUUGUCUCAUUGUUGUUUUAAUUGUUUUGGCAUUUGUAUGUUUGUACAUUUUUCUUGCGAUAUCUCCGUUACAUGUUGUAUUUCUGUCCUAUCGACCAUUUUGUGUCUGGAUUUUGUAUUACUCUUUAUCUUUUAUACCAUUUUCUUCUAUUUCUCUACCUAGUAAUUUAUCAAAAAGUUUCUUUCCUAAAUUCUGAUCAAAAACAUUUCCACUAAUAGUGCAAUAGUAGAAAUAGUCAUUUUGACAUUCUUUGAUCCUAAACCAACUAGUUAUACUUAGUUGUUCUAGUUUUAUUAGUGAAUUCUUUUGUAGGGUUACCAGACAACUAUUUGGGUCUUCGCCUGUUAUUAAACUAUGUAUUUUAUUUAUAAGAUUGUAUGAAUUAGCUCCCAUACUUACUAAUCCUUGAAAGUCAUCUGAAAAUUCUAACUUGUAUACUUCCCACAAACCUUUAGUGGAUUCUCCUAAAAAUAUUUUCAUAUAUCUAUACGUGGUUUCUGUGUAUGGAUCUUUAAUAGAUUGUAUAUAGUCUGCUACAACUACACCUUUCCAUAUAUCUAUUACAGAGUUCUAUAACUAGGGAUUAUGUGCUGCUAUGUUUAAAUUUUUUCCUUUAUUUUUCCCUUUUUGCAAUUUAAUAGGUUCUUCUAUUGGCAUUCUUCUUCCUUUGAUUUUUAUAUUCUCUGUCUUUUUAUUAGGAUUUAUCCUAUAUACCCUAUGUCUUGGUAAAUUACCUGUAUGCAUUUGUACUAUCGUCAUUGAGGUUGUCCUUUGGAAACAGCUUGAACUACUUGAUGCACUUUCCAUUAAUUCUUUCAUACUUUCUAUUUCGUCCAUACUAUAAAUUAUUUCUAAAUCAUCUUAUUUCAUUUGUCAAUUCAUUUCUAAUUCUAUAUCCAUAAUUGUUUGUUCUUAAUUCAUAUUUUUACAAAAUGUUCUUUCAUUUCAGUAAAGUAUAAUUUUUCAAUUUUAUAGACUUUGCAUUUGAAUUUUUUUUCAUUAUUUAUCUCAUACAUGGCUUCUUCUUUUAUUAUAACAUUGUUCACCUCAAAUUUAUCUUCUUCUAUCAUUUUUAUAUUCAUGUAUUCAGUAUUUUCACUUUCUUCAAAGUCUUCAUCAAUUUGUUUUAUUUGUAUAUUUAUAGUCCAUAAAUCUAACUAAGGUUUGUCCUUUAAUAUUUGUAUACAUUAGAUGAUCAUACGGCUUAAGUAUAUCCUUAUUGCUAAUUUUUUCUAAAUUUUAUUCUAAUUGUGCAUAUACCCUUAUUUUCCAUUAAGCUUACUACGUCUUCUACCUUGAGUUUAAAUUUAGUAUCACUAUUUAUAGCAAUUUUUCCUGUAAAACCUAUACAUACUAAUAAAUUAUUUCCAUUAUUAAUUUCUUCAUAUCCUUUAGUCUGAAUACAUAUUUUAAUAUAUUUUUUGAAUUUCAAAGAAUUUAUCAUAUAAUCUGGGCUACAAUAAAACAGUCCUUCAUUGCUUGACAUAUCUACUUCUAUUAUUCCUAUUAUAGAUCUCUUUGAGUCUGACUAUCUAUUAUCGUAUAUUGUAAUUAAUACUUUGGUUCCUAGAUUUUUCCUAGUUAAUCCUUUUAAACCUAUUACUAUUACUCCCAUAGGCACGAGGUUCAUAUCUAAUCUUUUAAUUUCUUGUAAAGAGUCUUGACUUAUUAGGUUUAUAUUACUACUAUUUUCUCCAAUAACACACAUUUUUUCCUCUCGGUAAUGCCUAUAUAAUUUUGCCUGUGAGAAAAAAACCCUGCAUUAUAUAAUAUUUUAGGAUUUAGUAAUUUUAACUAAAAAAUUUGUAUAUCUUGGUCUAUAUUUAUUACUUCUUCUAGUUGUUGUUUUGAAGUCAAUUUUGACGUAUUCAUCAACCGAGUUAACAUGUUACUUUUUAAUCUUUCUUGGGUGAAGCUUGUCCUUGGCUUGUCUGUGAAUGUUGGAAAAAGAUCCAUGGCUGCUUCUUUUUAAUAAUUUUUGUUCUUUCUUUUAGAGGGGUUACUUCUAUUCGUUUUAAUUGCUCAAUUCAUUGUCUGUAUUUUUGUCUUGGCUAAUUUUUUUUUCUUAUUAAACCUUUUCUUUAAUUAGUUUUUCUAAAUUUUUAUUAAUUUUCAAUAAUAAGAAUAUCAUUGUGUUAUUUUAUCUUAUUGCUAUUGCAUUUGUUCUUCCUGGGGGUUGAUAACUUGACAGUCCCUCCGGAAUUUUUUCUAUUUUUUUUUAAAAUGGUUUGAUAAAAUAGAUCACUUAUGAAAGAGCUAUUCUCUUUAUCUGUACAAUAUAUUUUCUUAAUUCAUGUAAUUCUUUUUCAAGAUUAUUUAUCUUAGGAUAUUCUGUAAUACUUUUUUCUUUAUUAUUUAGGGUUUGUAUUUUUCUCUCUAUUUCUGAUUGUUGGGUUUUUAUGAGAUCAAAAUUUUAUUCUAUUCUGUCUAAGAGUUUCUUUUGUUUAAUUUGUAGAUCUUGAAGGAUUUCUACAGUUUUUAAUAUUCUCGUAAUAUCUUUUUGAAUAAUUUCUCCUAGGUUUAUUAUAAGAUCUGUAAUAAUAUUUAGCUAUUGGUCAUCUCCAUGUAACACAUGUUCUCCAUUAUUAAAAUUACACCUAAUAACUGAGUUAUCCUUCAGUCAUCUAUAUUUUAUUUCUUUUUGUAGUUUUAAAUCUAAAUAAUCUAGUUCCUUUAGAGUAUCUAUUAUAAUUAGCUUUAUCAUAAUGGAAUAAUUAUCUUGCACUGUUCUCUUUGAAAGUUUAUUCUUUUGUUUGUAUAUUCUAAAUCGUUUCUGAUGCCCUGUAACUCCUACCUUAAUGAACUUAUAUAGUCUAGAUUAUUAGAUUCUCUUAAUCCUAUGUUCUGUAUUCUUUCGGAUAUAGUUCUGUCUUUUGUAAUAUGUCUAAAUAAUUGCUUAAAGCUUUUUCUAUUUUUAACAAUUCUUGCUUUCUUUUUAUUUCUCUAUACAAAUAUCAAUACUUUAUUUAUAUUCUUCUAGCAAAACUGUGUUCUCAUCAAUAUCUUUUAUAAAUUGUUUCUAGAUUUUUAGAUGUCCUAUCAAUUUAUUUUCUAUUCUAAAUACUAUAGUGAUUAAAUGAUCUAGUCGUUGAAGAUCUUCUUUCGAGUUAUUUAGUCUCUUAUAUUCUAAGUAUAAAGUAUUUAGUUUUUGUUUAAUUAUUUUUUAAAUCUUUGUGUGUUUUUAGAGUUCUUCUCAUUUAAUAUAGGUACUUGAAAAUCUUUAGGCUCUGAUACCAAAUACAUUUGGAGAUAAAAUAUAGAUAAAGUUUGUAAUAGAUAGUUGAGAUAAGAGUGAAUUAUAGAGUAAAAUAUAAUAAAAGUUGAGUUGAGCAAUAGGCUUGGGUUUGUACAUAAUUAACUUUAGUAGAAGGAAACUUAGGGAGUGUUUGGAUUGAUUAGAGUAAUAACUUUGCCACCAAAUGUACGUUUAUAAAGAUUUGAUGUAUUUUUGGUCUUCUCCAAUUUUGUCAAGUUUUUUGAGGCCCACAUAACCUGCAAAAUUUCCUAAAAUGAUAGUAGACACUACAAAUUAGAACCCAUUUGUAUAGGAUUAAAAAAAUAAUUUUUUAGCUUAAGUGAUUUAACAACAACAGCAACGCAGUAUAUUUUCACAAAGUGGGGUCUGGAGAGGGUAGAGUGUACGUAAUCCAUACCACUACCCCUAAAGAGGUAGAGAGGUUGUUUUCGAUAGACUUUAGCUUAGUGAUUAAAAGCUUAAAAUAAGUGCUUACAAAUUAAGCAUAUAAGUGUUUGGUUAGUGUAACACCCUAAAAUCUCCUCCCGGAACGUCACACGGUGCUUAAGGCUACAAGUAGCCCCAAGCUACCCUUUGAGCCUGUUACUACAUAUAAUAACUUAUUUCGAGAUAAAAUAGACCAAAAUGCUGGUACUGUCACAUCAAAUGAUAGGAAAUGCAAAGAAAAUACUAGGUAAAACGACCACAAUACUGGAAAUCUCAACAUACUAAUAAUCUGAUAACUAGUCUAACAAAGUCUCUACUACUUCAUGAACUAGAGAGCCAUUGGGACAGGUCCCCAACUGACUCAAACUGAAAUGAAAGCAAUGAUAUGUCUACUAACAAUACUGAAAUGUCUGAAGAUAGGUCCUCGAUCCAUGAGGACUCACUACUGUAGAAAUGUAGACAAAGGUACUCGAAAAUCACUGACAAGGCUGGGACUGAGCACCUGAACCUAUAUUAUAAAACUAUGUAGCAUAUUGACGUAUAUUUGGAUCAACACUUGGGAAUAUACUGAGUAUAUAGAGGUGUAUGCAUAUACAUAAAACAAUAUCCAUGCUCUUUAAUCAAUUCAUGCAUUCAAAUAUGAAUGACUCACAUAGCUUGAAUAAGUCUAACAUAAUAAUCUCAUAAAUCAUGUAGAAUGAAGCAUAUCACAAAUCUCGUGAGUCAUUAUACUUGACUUUAAAAAUAUCUACUCUCCUCUUAUUCUCAAUACUUGACUGCUAAAGGAAGCUUCAAAUAAUACUUUCAACUUAUGUAUAUAUCUCAUGGAGAGUAAAACUUCUUUAAUGCUUAAGAACUUAGAAGUCUUUUAACUCAAGACACUUGGAACUCGGAAUUAUAUAACUUUGGAUACUCGGGAGUCUUGACUUAUUAGGUUUAUAUUACUACUAUUUUGUGGCAUGUAGUUCUGGGGUAUGAGACCUCAAAAUCAUACCCAACUCGGUGCUAAAUACAACUCCUAUACUCAGCUCAGAAAUCUUAGGAAAUCCACCUCAAAUAACUCAAGGGUCUAUACUGAAGACCAAAAUGUAUUACUAUUUGUUUUAACAGAACAUCAUUGUGGAUUCCAACUCUAUUAGGACCAAAAAGGUCAAAUAUUACUCAAUAAUCUCAAAAUCUCAUGUAUAGUAAUAUUGGGUAUGAACCCACACUUCAAAUUCAUAGGAGAACUCAUAAAGUCAUAUAUCCUUGUAAUUUAAAAUAAGUUUUGGUCACAAGGACGAAAGAAUUGUCCUUGUUCAAACCCCACAUACCUUAGAUUGUAAAACUAGAUGAACAAGUUUGCUUGAAACUCUUGUUCUUACUCUUUGAGAGAGGGUUCUUAAAGCCUUGGACUUGAGAAACUCGAAUCUCAACUAAAUUUGUAGAAUCUAUGGUGAGUUCCUUAAUUUCUUAGAGAAGGGUUUUGGGUUUGUUCUUGAGGAAGAAACCCCAACCUUUGGAUGUUUUGGGAGAUAAUAAAGUCAUAUACUUCGUUUUGCAUAUAUCUAAGUGUUAAAAGGGGGAAAGACCGAAAGUUCUUUUAAAAAUGACUAAGAAAAUAAUGAACGAGAUUUACGAUGGUCGGAGUAACGGUUCAUUGCUAGAUCGACGGCCCUUUGGAUCGUCCAUCGCAUGUUCGUCAGAAAAAGGCCAUAUUACCUCAGUUGCGACGGUCUUAGCGACGGUCCAUCGCUAGCUUAACGGUCCGUCAUCUUGGCCGUCACACUUGGGCCAGAAGAGGGAGUUACUGCCUUGGUUGCAAUUGUUUGGGCGAUGGUCUGUUGCAAGCUUGACGGUCCGUCAACCUGCCCGUCGCAGCUGGGCGGUUCCGAUAGCUCUUAGUAAAAUGGCCAUAACUUCUCACCCCGAUAUCGGAUUUGGACAAAAUUGGUAUCGUUGGAAAGAUAAUUAAAUUUUCCACACGAUAGAAAGUCAUUUUUAGGAAAAUUAAAUUAAGUUUAACACAAUAAUCACUUGGGAAGUCACUUCUCAAUCUUUUAGGGCCGAAAUUACACUUCACUUGAAACACUCUAAGGCUCAGACUACGAGGGAACUUUUGUGGGGUCUUACAGAUAGAAGUGUUGAAACUUAAAAAAAGUUGUUGAUGUGUUUGGUAAACAAGUGAUGUUAAGUACUUUUUUAUUAUCAAAAUAACUUAAAUAUUCUUAAAUCUGUUAACACCCUAAAUAAGGUGAAUUAUUUAUAAUAUUUCCUAAAGAAAUAGAUAAGCAUACAUUACACCCUUGAAUCAUGACCAAAGUUGCCACGACACACUCCAACUUCACAGGGGUCCUAUUACCCCUCUGAAGGAAAUGUUAGUGUAUUUUAAUCACCCUUUUAUGUUAACGUGACACUUUUAUUACAUAAAAAUGGGGUGCACAUCAAAAAUAUGAUGUCAGCUAAAAAGGUGACACAUCAGCUAAAAAGGUUGACAAAAAUAUGCUAAAAUUUAGUUCCGGGGUAAUAGAAUUGUGUGAAAUUGGAGUGUGGCGUGGCAAAUUCAAUCAUAGUUCAGGGGGUACUAGAUGAUUUACUAAAAAUAAUUUUUUGAGCAAACUUUUGAUGUAAUGAUGGAUUUGUUGAAAAUAAAGGAGAAAGAUGAAGAGGAAAUUGAAGGACAGAGACAAAGAGAAGCGACAAAGAGAAAAGGAAAGAAAAAUCACAUAUUUAUUAGCUACAAGUUCAUGGUAUCAUUGGAAUUAGAGAAAAAUAUAAGGGAAUAAAAAGAUAAAUAUUUUUGUCAUAUCUCAAGGAAUUUUAAUCUAAAAAGUAAAAAGUUAGGGGUACCCAACUUCUCACUUUUUGCUCCUUUUUAUAUCAGUUUUUUUAGCACAUUUUAAUUUUACCAAACACUUAAAAAUGCUAAAAAAGAAAUUAAAAGUUGGUUUGACCAGAUUUUAAUCCUAUCCAAAACAGGCUCUUAGUACUGUGUAUUCUUUUAUAAAAAAAAGUUCAUAAAAACAUACUCUAAAACAAGUCAAAAUUUCAAACAAAUUGUAAACUAUAAUUAAAAGCUCCUUUUAUUACUAUCCCAUAUAAAAGUGAGCUAAAUUAAUUUUUACGAAAAGUAACUAGAAUGUAAAAAUCUACAGAUUCUGUCCUAGAUAGAGAUAAAAGGAUUAUAAACAUGUUAUGAUCAACUAUAUAAAUUAUCGGGAAAAAGGUCCGAAAUAUACUUAAAUUUUGACGAAAUUUGUUGUAAUACGUCUCAAGUUUACGGGGUCCUAUGAUCCGCUAGAUUAUUUUUUGUCGUAUUUCUGUGGUAGAUAUUUGCUUAGCUGGACUACUUCAGACACUUACAUGCACAAUGCACGUGUAUUCACAUAGUGAUCCAGCUAGCAAAUAUAUUCCAAAGAAAUAUGGUAAAAAAUAAUCUAGGGGGUGAUAAGACUCCCACAAAGUUGAGGCGUGUUACAAUAAAUUUCUCUAAAGCUUAGGUAUGUUUCAAACUUUUCUCCCUAAACUAUCUUAAUCAUGUACAAAUAACUCUCAAGCGUAUAAUAUAAGUUAGUAAAAUUAACUUAUUAGAGGAACAUGAUAGACCAUUUUUGCACCACACAAUUCUAGAGAAAAUAAAAUGAUUUGAUUGACUGCACAAGUCUUUCUUUGUCUAAUUAGUGGAAUUUAUGAACCAUAUUUACAAUUCUAGUUGAAACGUGCAAGACUUGAUGAAAUUAGAAUUAAAAUGACCAGUGGCGGAGCCAUAUGUUCAUCGAAAAAAUACAUUAUUUAGUUAGGUAAAUAUAUACAUAUUUUUAAUGUAUAUAUUACAUAUUGACACUCCUUAACUUUUUCGUUAAUUUACUUCUUUUUAUUUUGAAACCUCUAAAUGAAAAUUUCUAACUCCGCUGUUGAAUAUGACAGAAUGAAUGAAGAAAAGUAAUUUUUUUGCAAAAUCAUGAAGACAUAAAUGGAGAUUUCAUUGCUAUUUAAAGUCUCAAAACGACAUAUUAUAAGCCAUACCAUUUUCCUUCUAAUUUUUACACUAAUGGAGAAAGCCUUCAGUUCGUUUCUCUUAAUAGUACUCUUGUUUCUUCACUAUGUUAUGGUUAGUUCAGCCAUGACCCAAACCAACACUACCACUGAUCAAUUAUCUCUUCUCUCUUUGAAAUCCCAAAUCAUUUCCGACCCCUUUCACUUCUUGGAUGAACAUUGUUCUUCAUCUACUUCUGUUUGCCAUUGGGUUGGAGUCACUUGUGGUUAUCAUCACCAGAGUGAAGUCCUUAAAUCUUUCCAACAUGACUCUUAUUGGCAGAAUUCCACGUGAUUUUGGAAACCUCACCAUUAGAAAUUGAGCAGAAAUAAAUUAAACUACAAGGAGAAAAAAAUAAGAACACACAGAUUUAGGUGUUAACCCUUACGAAAAAAACUACGGGCAGAGGCAGAGGAGGUUUCACUAUGAAAGGAAAGGAGUAAAAUACCUUAUGAGAAGUAAGAAGAAGAAGGAUCUGAGUAAGAAUCAAUACCUUCUGCUACAUUCAAUGCAUAAGUAACCAAAUCUACUUUAACAUACUUCUGAGGAGGUCUAAUAUCUCUUCUAUGCAUUUCUUUAGCAAUAGAAUAUUGUGGCAUCACUAGUGGUGACUAAGAAAUAGUACCACUCUAUAUCUAUGGGCUAGACCGAGAAGUAGGCAUUGGUGUAGACUCUGCUCCAAUUUGCAAUUCAAUAUAGGCACUUGACUGUUGCUGAUUUAUGUCACUAAUCUCAUCUGGUUGUUAAGUACUAGAUUCGUAGGGAACCCGAAGUAUGGAAGUUUCAUCAAACACAACAUCCUAGCUAAUUAUAAUCUUUCUUCUUUCUGGACACAUAAUCUUAUAACCCUUAACACUCGGCUUAUAACCCAUAAAUAAGCACUUGACAGAUCUAGGCUCCAACUUUCCAUUAUCAACAUGAGCAUACGCAGGACAUCCAAAAUCCUCAAAUUAGAAUAACUAGAAAGAGUACCAGACCAUACCUCUUGUGGAAUUUUUUUAUCAAUCGAGACUGAGGGAGAGCAAUUUUUAAGAAGACAAGUUGUGAAAGCAGCUUAGGACUAAAAGGCUAGGGUAAACCAACAUUAGAGAGCAUACAACUCACUUUCUCUAUUAUAGUUCUAUUCAUUCAGUCGGCCACACCAUUCUGCUGCGGAGUAUGAAGAACUAUUAAGUGCCUCACAAUUCCUUCUAACUUGGAUAGAGCAUUAAAUUCAUUAGAACAGAACUCUAAACCAUUAUUAGUCUAAAGGCAUUUUACCUGCUUUCCUAUUUGCUUUUCAAUUAUAAUCUUCCACUUCUUGAAAGUAGUCAACACAUCAUUCUUUUUCUAAAGAAAGAACACCCAAACUUUUUUGGAAUAAUCAUCAAUAAUAGUCAAUAAGUAAUUCACACCUCCUCUAGAAGGUACUCUAGAAGGACCCCAUAGAUCAGAAUGAAUGCAAUCAAGUAUGCCUUUAGUUCAGUGGAUUCUUUUAGUGAAUCUGACUCUCUUUUGCUUCCCAAAAUUGCAAUACUCAUAGAACUCCAGUUUGGUAAUACUUUGCUGUAACACCCCACAUUUUUUGGGCUAGAAUUCAAACUGUCAUUCUAAUGCGUAUAGACCUAAACCUAAUGAUUCUUUGUUAAUAAUGGUGUGGUGAUUAAUUUUAUAAUGUGGUAAUACCUUUGAAUAUGAAUUGAGGUCACAAUAUCUUCUAACUCAAAGACAAGUUGAGAACGUUUCUAUCGAUUAAGUGUUCAUGAAAACUUCAGCUUAAAUCAACUUUCAACGAUCAUUACUCCCUGUACAUAAUGAGUUACAUGUCCUACUAUAUACCAAAAGAAAUAUCUUUGAGUCCUUUUUCCAACACAACUGGUUUCACCUUAAUUCGAUAUUGAAGUAGGAAGUUAUGCUCAUUUUACCUCAUCUUGUUCGUCUGUCAACAAGGUGACGACUUGAUCUGAUAGGGCGUUAACCAAGUAAUGACUUAUCAACCAAUGUUAUCAUCCUUGACAAGUAUGCGAUCAAUUCUAACAUCAAGUGACGACUUGAGGUAAUAGGCCUUCACCCAAGUGACGACUUAUCAACCCAAGUUGUCACCCAUAACCAUCCUAGCUCCAGAAGUGAAGACUUGAGUUGAUAAGUCAUUAACUAGUUGAUUAGUUAUCAACUAAAAAUUUCUCUAAUUUGUACGUAUUUUCUGUAGGGGUAUUUAGGUAUUUUCCCAACCCCAAUUUUCUCCUACAUGAUUUAAAUCAUCAAAAACACAUUAUAAUUGAUCCUUUAUCAGAUUUAAAACAUCUCAAAUCCUCCCUACUUUCAAGAAUAAGAUAAAAUUGGGGUUUCCUCUAAGUUUAAGAUUUCAAGAAAAGGGUCAAGAUUAGGGUUUCAAUCUUCAAGUUAAGAAACACAAGGUACGUGGAGUUUUCCUAAACUACAUGGGAUUAUUGAAAAUGUUUUGAGUAAGGUUUAAAAUUAUAGAAUCAUAGAUUUAUGAAGGGUUUUGAAUUUACAAUAACAAAUAUGCAUUGUAAACCCUUUUUGAUGAUACUAUUUUGGUCUUGAAGUCUUCCCAUAAAUUUGAUUUGUACUCGUAUAUAAGUACAUAUGCGUUUUGAGUUUGAAUGUUGAAUUGAGAGCAUAAACAAUUAUAAUCCCUCUCUUGUUAUAGAACCUCUUGUUUUCAUAUGUUAUGAAUUAUUCGAUUGCAUAUUGAAAAAUAUGAUACAAAUUUCUUUACUAUUGUUUAAGACUUGAUUUUGGUUAUGAAGUAAAGAGAGGGUGUUUUCUUGUUUAUAUAAAUGAAAAGUAAUGAUUUAAAAAAGCGCAUGGCUUGAUACAAGUGAUUAGCCACCCUAUGUUUGAGAAUUGAAAGAGAGAAUCUUUGCAUAAGUUUUCACAUAUUUCGAAAUACAAAUUCUCUUAUACUGUUUAAAUGAUUUGGGUGGUCUAAAUAAUAUGUUUUGAAUGAAAAGCUUGUAACAUAAUACUGCAUGGCUUAUACGACUUGCAAGGGUUGGUAUAAUGAUACCAUAUCAGAAAAAUGCCAUAAUAGGCUCAGAACAGACUAACCAACAUAAAGUUUUUAGACAUUAGACUACUUUUCAGAAAUAUACAUGAUUUAAAAUAUUAAAAACAGGCUUAAAGAGAGUUAGAUGG